AAGAGAGUCCUAAGAAGAUGUAUCAAUAAAAAGGAUGAAGAAAAUAAGCUUUCAUUUUCCUUUUCACCUUCUUUCUUACUGGUGUGGUAUUGGGGGAAUAUAUUGAUCGUGUAAAACAUAGAACUAGAUUAGCACACACUAAUGUUCGCAAGAUAAUAUCUACACGCAUGCACAGAGACAGAGAGGUGCUCACAUCUACAUCAGACAAGUGACCUGCCAUUAUUCUUAAAGGCUGUAUUCUGUCCAUAGACCAGAUCCUUGCAGUUCGAUCAUGUGAAGCACUUGCAAAAUAGUGUCCCACUGGACUAAACUGCACUAGAAUAACAUCAGAAUCACGAGUCUGUUCUAGCAUGGGUCAUGAAUAAGAGAUUUAUCAGAAUGAACAAGGGCUGUAAGUAAAUUAAAAGGGAAAAAUAUGGAGCAAAAUCAUUCAAGUGACUCAUGUUGAAUGUGCUCUAUUUAGUCUAAUGAUGCAGGAAGCACUGUUGGCUAAAAAAUAUUUUCGAUAUCAUACAGACAUUGAAAUUUUUACUAUCUUUGUAGUAAUUGAAGGACUUGAUUCAAUAUGAACAAUUCUUAGCAGCAUAGCCAAUUGAUAUAAUGUGGAAAACAAUAUUUUAGAGCAGCAAAGAUUUAGGGAUAGGAUAAAUCUUGCAUGAUUUAGUGCAGCCAAAUUCAGGGUUAAAAUCAAUACGGUCAAAGAUUGUAGGUAUUGUUACUGUACAAUCAAUUUUUAUUCUUUAUACACUGUAUAUCUCUAUAAAUAGCCCUGUAUUCCAAAUUUAUUUAUUUUUAAUUGGUAAUCAAGUAAUUUUAUUAAUCAAAGGAUAAUACACAAGAAGUGCCUAAAUCAUUCUCAUGUGUAAUCAAGCAAGAUUUAUUGAUUGUUCAAAUGGUAAUAUACACGGGGAUUUGGAAACAAAAAUGCACUCAAAUAUCUUGGUCAGUGAUACUAAAGUAAAAUCUUUAUUCAGCAUGACACAUCAUAUCAAAACAAGAGUUAAGAGUAGUGAACCAAAACUUUUCAAUCACGUAGAGAAUAAAAUGAGUGUAGUUUAUUGGAGAGAUUUGGACUGCUGAUUGCAGAAGAAAUAUUGUUUCAUCCAUUGACAAUAUGCUUAUUGCUUUAGUGUGAGGAAAGGAAAGUAGGCAUAACUAUUGAUUUUUGAGUUUUUCCUCGAUUAAAAGUUGGUUAGAGUUUAGGGAUGGGGAUAUACAGCUUACUAAAAAGUGAAUAUCCAAAAUCCUACCUGAACAUCCCACACGGGGUAGUUAUGACCCUUGUAGCAAACAAGAUUUGCAUUCAGUUUUGUGCUCCAUAAUCGAACUGCAUGCCAGCAGUUUGAUUUUAAUCAUAUUUUGCAGGCUAGGACAAGAAGCUAAAGAAAGUACAAAAUAACAGCGAAUGCGCACAUACUUGUUGAAUCAGAUGAAGAAGACAGAAGAAAAUCUCCAUAUGGACUAAAAGUGGUAGAAUAAACAGGUCCAGAGUGACCCCGAAAUAAUGUAUAAGAUCUUCCCUUCGCAUUUGCAUUAAGUAUAUUUUCAUUAGGAGCCAACUCAUUUUCUCCCUGCGAAGGAGCUGAUACUAAUAAAUAUCAGCACCUCGUUGUUGCUUAACAAGUACACGUACAAAUUAACUGCACAACGUGGAUAAAAAUAGCAAUUUGACAAGCAAGAAAAAAAUUGAAGGGUGUGACCAAAUAGAAUUUUAAACGAGACAAAUAAAAGGUUUAAAUACAUUGACAUUAAUGCCAUGAACAUAAAGUUCUUCAUCCAAUCAAGAUUUAAAUAACAGAAUAAAGAAUAAUAAAGGCAUAUUCUAUGACAGUCUUUGAUGGAGGAAAUUAUCAAAAUCUACUUACUAUUGCCAGUUUGCUGCCCAAGCUUUGCCAUGUCCCAAACCUGUAAAUAGUGGCUUUCAGAUGAGCAUGGGAAACUGAAGUUAUUUGAGAUACUUCGUAAAUUACACAAAAACUAGGAAACCUUUAGUGAUGAGUCAGAAAAUCCGCCAGCAACAAGUGAUCCAUCAUGAGAUAUCGAUGCACAGUUUAACCUAAUCAAUAGAUCGUAAGAUUUUGCAAAGAUCGGUAUGAUUGCUAACCACAUUAAAAGAUACCAAAAGAAGAUAAAUAGUUUUCGCAGUGAUUGGCAUACCCAUUAUGUGUAUUGAUAAAGGUGUAGAAGCUAAUAGAAGGCAAUGUCAUACUACUCAACUGCACCCGAUUCCUCAGGUCCUCGAGAAUAGAAUGUUCCACCUCUGUAGGUCUGAAAGAGAGAGAAAUCCACAAUAUAAAAAAUUAGCCAGCAGCUAUUGAAGAUUAAUGGACACUGCCAUCAACAAAUUGAAAGAUAUCCAGCAAAAUACACCAAAACCAGCACAACGGAAGUGGGACAACAAACCCAGCCUCAUUCAAGGUGGUAGAAACAUAUUUGAAACCUUCUUGAAAUGAGUGAUCAUGCGGUGGAUGUAAAAAUGUGCAUCCUCAUCUACCUGGAGCUAUCUUUGAUGCCUGAUCAAAUGAUUGGAAGAGCUCGGUGCAUGAUCAGACCUCUCUUUCUUUUUUCAUUUUUUCCUUUCAUUUAUUUUGGUUGAGGGAGGUGGGAGGGACAAGAAACUAUUAGCAUGCAUCACAUAAGUAUAUGAUGGAUGCAAAUCUAUACAUAGAUAUUCUUCCUACAAUGACCAAAUACUAUGUGACUCUAUACAACACAAUUAUGAUGUACCUGAAACUUACGUUUUUUGUAAACAGGCCCAACUUGAACACUUUUUUCCCUCCCCUUUCCAACCAGAAAAAUAGAGACUUCUUGAAAAAAUAAAAUAUUUAGAGCUGUUUGGCAAAGAUUUUUCUAAACUAAUUUUAACCACGCAUUUCAUUGGACCCACAACUUUUAUCCACGUUUUAACCACACAUGCUCCAAAAAAAUCAUUUUGCACUUGAAAAAACCUAUGCCAAACAAACUCUAAAAGAAGUGGAGCAGAAAGGGAGGUGAUUUGAAUGAGGAAAACUGAAACAAGGAUAGUCCAGAAAAUACAUUAUUGGCAAGGUUAGCUCUGGUUUUACACGUGGUGCUCCAGAUGUAGUGCUGCUCUCUGAUCGAGAAGCUUUUCCUGUUGUAGCAACAACCUUGUCCUUUUUCAACUUUUUCUGCAUGGAGCCUCCUUUUCCGCCAUCAGCUGAUCUUUUCUGAACAUGAACGAAGAAUAGUCUAAAGAUGCAAGUGAACUUGAAAGGCUGAAUCUAGAAUAAUGGACAUAUGAGGACUCUUUAAGCUUGGAUUACAAUCUGCAGCGAAAGAUGCAUAAAAUUAAAAUAUUCAGUACCUUAUUUUCUUCCAAGUCCCCAUCUUUCACUUCUCCAUCAGCUUUGUCUGAAUCUGUAAUCCGAUCCCCUGCCUUCUCCAACCUUUCUUCCAAGGAAUCUUCAAGCAACUGUAACAAUUUAAAUGGUAUUAUAACUCUAAAUGAAGGACUCAUCUAGCCACUAUGCUCCAUAAUAUUUAACCAUACGUCUCUUUGCCAGAGGGAGGACAAGAAAGCAAGAAGAGGAUAGAAAGACAAAUCAAGUCAGAACUAUUGAACCCAGUUAAAGACACUCACAAUUCACCUACUGAAAUUGACUCUAACUGAACAUCAACAAUCUAACAUGCCACGAAAAUAUCAUUAUCAACCAACUUAACACAUAUAAGUUCUCCUUCCUAAAAUUGAAUAAACAUGAACAACCAAAUAUCUAAGUUAAAUUACCAAUAUAAUGAUCCACCCAUUUCCUGAAUGACUAACAAUUACUGUCCAUGACUGAAUUAGCAUAAUUUUAAUAAAAGAAAGCCAACAAACAAAGAAUACAAUCUUUCCAGCCAUGAUUAAUAGCAGGCUAGCUCACGUUGUGACUCUUAAUAGUGAUAUAGAACAAUCUUACUGUAAUUAUGAUAAAAGUUAGUUAAUUAUAAUAAGAUGUUUAUUUGUAAAAGAUUUUAUCUUUUUAUUCUGAUAUUUUGUUUAGAAUAUGAUUUCUUUUCUUUAUUGAUUAGAAUAGGAUUUCUAAUUUCUUUUAAAUUAGGAUUUAUUUUAGUUACCUUAUAUUAGUUAGUAGUAGUAGGAAAUAAUUUUGUCUGGCAUUGUAUACUUUUCAACAACAAUCAAUUAUUAUUCAAUAUAUACGUGACAUGAUUGUUCAAAUAUCUUUUUUAUUUAUCACAUAAUUCUUAUUUCAAGAGUUUCAUAACACUUUCGCACCAAAAUUGGUAUCAAAGCAAGGAAAUUGCUUUAAUCUGAUGGCUAACGAUGAUCCUAGUGGCAGUCGAAUCACCAACGACGAAUGAAGGUUCAACAAACUCGAAAAACAAAGCCCGGUUGAGUCAUUUUUUUGUUUGUUUGGCUAAUCGAGGGAAUCCACAAAACUCUUCACAUCACGCGGAUGCUAAUUACAUUGAGUCUUGAAAAGAAUCACGAGCUCAUGGAGAAGUAAGCUAAUAAGAAUUCGCAGACUUUAACUACUUUGAAUGUUAAUUGUUUCAACAAGUAUAGAACAUGUCAACAUGUGACUAGAGAAUUUCCACGAAUCCUAGCCAAGUUUGAAAACACACAAGUUAUCAAAGAUUCUUUUCUUCAACAAAACUCGAGGACGAUUUCUUUCAAGUGAGAGAGAAUGAUGUAGAACAAUCCUACUAUAAUUAGGAUAAAAAUUAGAUAAUUAUAAUAAGAUGUUUAGUAGUAAUAGGUUUUAUCCUUUUUAUUCUGAUAUUUUGUUUAGAAUAUGAUUUCUUUUCUUUAUUGAUUAGAAUAGGAUUUCUAAUUUCUUUUAAAUUAGGAUUUAUUUUAGUUACCUUAUAUUAGUUUCCUAGUAGUAGUAGGGAAUAAUUUUAUCUAUAACUACAAAGGCAUUAUAUACUUUUCAACAACAAUCAAUUAUUAUUCAAUAUAUACGUGACAUGAUUGUUCAAAUAUCUUUUUUAUUUAUCACAUAAUUCUUAUUUCAAGAAUUUCAUAACACUUUCGCACCAAAAUUGGUAUCAGAGCAAGGAAAUUGCUUUAAUCUGAUGGCUAACGAUGAUCCUGGUGGCAGUCGAAUCACCAACGACGAAUGAAGGUUCAACAAACUCGAAAAACAAAGCCCGGUUGAGUCAUUUUUUUGUUUGUUUGGCUAAUCGAGGGAAUCCACAAAACUCUUCACAUCACGCGGAUGCUAAUUACAUUGAGUCUUGAAAAGAAUCACGAGCUCAUGGAGAAGUAAGCUAAUAAGAAUUCGCAGACUUUAACUACUUUGAAUGUUAAUUGUUUCAACAAGUAUAGAACAUGUCAACAUGUGACUAGAGAAUUUCCACGAAUCCUAGCCAAGUUUGAAAACACACAAGUUAUCAAAGAUUCUUUUCUUCAACAAAACUCGAGGACGAUUUCUUUCAAGUGAGAGAGAAUGAUGUAGAACAAUCCUACUAUAAUUAGGAUAAAAAUUAGAUAAUUAUAAUAAGAUGUUUAGUAGUAAUAGGUUUUAUCCUUUUUAUUCUGAUAUUUUGUUUAGAAUAUGAUUUCUUUUCUUUAUUGAUUAGAAUAAGAUUUCUAAUUUUUUUAGAUUAGGAUUUAUUUUAGUUACCUUAUAUUAGUUAGUAGUAGUAGGAAAUAAUUUUGUCUGGCAUUGUAUACUUUUCAACAACAAUCAAUUAUUAUUCAAUAUAUACGUGACAUGAUUGUUCAAAUAUCGUUUUUAUUUAUUACAUAAUUCUUAUUACAAGAAUUUCAUAACGCUUCAGCACUAAAUAGCUUCCACUAUCUAAACUUUUGUAUAACCCCAUGGAAGUGGUGGAAUUUGCUCAAAAUUUAGAUCACAAAAACCAAUAAUUACUAUUUUCUAGCCAAGUGGAAUCGACCUCAUUACUCAUCUUGCAUGCCAAUAUGAUUUCCAACAUCGACUAUUGGACGACACAUAUGGCCUCAUCUAAUUUUUGAAGAGAAGCGUCAACCACAAGUAGUCAUCAUUUAGAAGUUACUGGUGAGGGAACAAAAAAACUAAACAUGUUAGUAUAGUAAAUGACAAAAUAUUCCAACAAACUAGUAGGCAUGUAGCAUUAUAAAUAAGCAACUUUCUUAAAGAAAUUUCAACUACAUUAGAUUUAAAAUAACAUAGUAGAUGUAUAUAUAUCUUAUGUGCAUUGUAGACUAACCCCCCAAUGUAUUUCUUUCUGAUUAACAAGAUCAGCAGCAUCAUGACCACUCCCGACAAGUGUGAAAACGUCAGCAUCAUCAGAAAUUGAGCUUGGUUGUCCAGGUGAAACUGUCCAUUGAAUAAGCAGCUUCAUAUCCAUUCAAACAAAGAGGGUAAUUCAAGAAAAUAAAAAGCAAUGGAAGUGAGAAAAUAAUAGCACAGGCAUAGGAAACCUGCGAUUAGAAAUGAGGAGUUGUACCCUGGAAGUUAAUACGCUCAUUGACGAUCCCAAGCAUUGUAAUUGAUUGAGUUUUGUGUAAGUAUUGUAUCAGAAGAUCAUAAGAGUACUGUCACAAAGAAAAAAUAAGCAUAAAUAAUAUGUUGCCAGACACGUAAGCCUAACCAGAUUCAAUGCAAGAAGUGAAGUUGUGGCUGAGGCUUGCCAAAAUUCAGCAACUCAAUAAAAGUCUUCAAUAACAGUGUGUAUAUAUGUUAGCAAGUAUAGAGUCAACGAUGCAUGUAACUUAUGAAUAGAACCUACAAACAUACAGUACACAAUACUCAAUUCUAAAUGCAGCUGUAUGACCCACGUUGUUCCAAUAGUGAUAAACCACAGAUGCUAUUUAAACCUCCAGUUGAAUAAAAUUUCAUCACCAAAGAGAAGGGAUCCAAUUCCGUAGAAUGAACAGCAAGAACAAAAUUUUCCCCUGUUUUCCAUAUUUUCAUCAACCACAGUGGAUUUUAGGACAAAACUUUUCACCAAGUUAGCAGAAGAAUAUGCUUUUCUGCUUCUCUUCAAGUCUGAGUUGUGUCUUCAAUACGCAUAUAUCUCUUGCUCACUUUCAUCCCCCACCCCACCCCCCUCUCUUUGGGCAUCUCAGCUUCCUGAUUUGGUAGCUUCUUGAUGAAAUGAAGCAAGAAUAUUUUUAUGUAAUUUUCUGCAAUAAGAUAAAAUGAUCUGAAACCUGAAUUGCAGUUUAAUAACUUACAAUUGCACAAUAGAAGUUUUGGACUAAUCUAUUAUAUGUUAUGUAUCACCAGAAAAAGAAUUGUACUGUGUUCUUUGAAAUUCCUCCUUUUCCGUGUUCAAUUUUACAUUUCAUUAAAUGUCAACUCUGCCUUUUUCCAUUUCAGAGCAUACUAUAUUUAAUUUUUAGAGCAUUUACAGGAGAGAAACAAAGUAAAGUAUCAGAACUCAUUGAAGCUUGUUUAGGAACUCAGUAAUCAAACAAGCCAAGUUAAAACUUUUAUUGUGUUCAUUCAAUUUGUAGUUUGGCUCAAUAAUCUAACAAAUAAGAGAAUUUAUAGAAAAACACCAAACUAGUCAAGCUCAACUCCAACCGAUUGAGAUUAGUUUGUAAAGAAAGCAAGCAUGAACACCCAAUUGUUUGCUCUCAGUCCAGUUGGGCUUGUUUAGACCCCUAAAAGCAUUAACCUUUGGUGUAAUAAAUAUUUGAUUGAACAUGCAUCGACAUGCCACUUGCAACUUAACACAAUCAACCUUUUUUCAUAAUCCAAGAUCUUAGUAUACUUGCACGAAAAGCCAAGUAGCUCACGAUAAACAAUAAGAAAACAAUGAUACAAACCUAUGCAUAUGACCCAAAAGUGAGAGAAAAAUUACCUGACAGAUCUUAACACUCACUUUGCUCUGUCUUAGAGAACGAGCAAAUUCCAUUUCCUACAAACAAAACGUACAUUUUUAAGGACAAAUUUUACCUGAAUGCAUCGAAUUAACCAUCGUAGCAUAGUUCUAGUAAAGUGAUAGACCUCAAGAUGUGAGGGUGAAAGAACGCCUUCUAAUUUUUGGAGGUCACGUGAAUGCAUCAUCUCAUGGUCUUCUCGGAAGCGAUUGAAAAAGGCUCGAGCUGAUAUAGGACCCCAGACUGGUGCUAUUAAGAAUAAAAUCUCAAAAGAAUUAUACAAUUAAUGAAUGACAUAUAUAACUCGACAAAAGUAGCUUCGUUUGACAACUAUUUAUAAAUUUGUCAAAGACAGACUAAAUAUGCCACAUAAUAAACUAUUAUGAUACCACAAAAUUUUAACAUGUAGACAUUUUCCAAUUUUUAUAACACAGAAAUGUUACAGGGUGGAACGGGACUGUGGUAUGUGCCAAUUUGUAGGGAAAAAAGCUAAACAAACAGGGUCAAACAUAGGGACCUUUUUUUUUUUCCAGGGAAUGAAGGAACAGAUUUUGAUUGACAGUUUUUUUUUAAUUGCAAAUGAGAGAAUACCAAGUGUAUCUGUGCAUAAAUUUCUGUCAUUGAAUAUGUUCAUAUAGUAGAGGUGAUUUUACAGAGAGUAAUGCUAUUCGUAGUCGCUCACUGCGACAGUCGUCCUACGUGACAUAUACAUGACAGGUGAUUAUUUGACAUACACAUGGCAGGUGGUUAUUUGAUGGAUUUUAAUGAACAUUAAUGCAUCAAAUAACUACCUGCCAUGUGUAUACCACGUAGGGCGACUGUUGUAAUGAGCGACUGCAAAUAGCAUUAUUCUUUUACAGAAUACAAAAAUUAACAAAUGAUGCAUAGGUGUCGUCUUUCUAUAGGUACAACUCCUCAACCAUUGCUUCGAAAUAUUAGAGUAUUUAAAAUUGUAAUAACAUAUGAAAAAUAUGUGAUAUCGGUAGCUUGGGGGAGCACGUUUGUCUAAGCAAAAAACUUAUAGGAAAUAAGUAAAUAAAUAACUUAUAAAGUGAUUUAACACGGUAGUAUAGAAGAGGAGGAUAGCAUAAUCAGGUUUUUUCAUGACCACCAAUUUAUAAAAGCUUUAAUGAUAAGUUCGUCACGUGCUAAAAAAUUGUAUUUUAGACCAAAUGAUUCAGUAAUAUAUAUAUAUAUAGACACACACACAUAUUUAUUUGUAUUUUAUGGUAUUGAUCUUUGAUAUCUUCUCUUACAAAAAUCAAUAGGAUUGUUCGCGACUAACAAAUUAUUCACAAAAUAUACAAAGGAUAACAUUAAAUUGUGGUUACCAUGCGUCAAUUGUUUACUAAAGCUUUAGACUCCAUAAAAUUUAAAUUAGGAAAGUGUAUUGUCAAACUAUCACAUGAUUUAAAUAUUACCCGUUAACUAUACGAGUAUGUGUAGGUUUUUGUUGUGCUUAGUAUAUAAUCUUGAAAAAGCCAACUUUGUUUGAGUCUCGUUAUAUAUAUAUAUAUAUAUAUAGAGAAAAAAAUUUGUAGGAUACACAAGUAUUACUCACUUCCUCCACUCACUCAUCUCUAUCAACUUAUAAUUUUAGCAAAAAAUAAACAAAUAAGGCAUAGUUCAGCUUGCUUUUUCUUUUUCUUUUUUCUAUUUUAUAAAUAAUUUGUUGGAUACAUUGCUAAAUUUAUUGAAAAUGUAUAAAGAAAUCUUGAGAGGAACCACUAAGGAACCAACCGUAGAAUUGACAAUUGAAGAGGAAGUGGUUGAGGAAUGAAACGCAUUAAAAAAUUCACGGGACAUGUGUCGAAAAGAAAUCAAGGUUUAUUUGUUAGAUAAUGACAUGACAUGGGAUUAUAUAUAAACUUAAAUAAAUGACAUUUUUUUCUGAAGUGAUCAGAAUAUGAAAUGUUACAUAUCGCUUGCAUUCCACUUCAUAUAUCUUGUCAUUGUACCUUGGAUGAUAAGGCUCACAGAAAAGUUCGAAACGUUUUAUAUGUGCAUUUUCUAUUUUUCGUUAUCGAAAGGUGUUGAAUAAAAAGCACAAUAUGUGCAUCUUCAUCAAACUUUUCCUCUACCCAAGAAGCAUGAGCAUGGAGCAUUGCAUGUGCAUAUUCAUUAAUUCAACUUUUCGUUAUUGACUAGGCCUCGUGCUCUUGUCUCUUCAUAACAAAAAUCCAAUUCUGGAUGUGAAAUGAGUUCGACCUUGACUUCAAGGCUCCAAUUCGUUAAUUGGAUAUUUUUUUUGUGACUCGAACUUAAUAGUUUCACCUAACAUGUCACGUGUAAUAAAUGGACAUUCCAAGUUAAAUCAAGUGUAACUCUGUGAAUUGAUUUUCCUCGACAUGAAGUCAGAAGCAUGUGAAUUCUACGACACAAGUCGUGAAACGCGGUACAGAAGAUGCACAAGUUGUCUAUUGAAGGAUGAGAAGGAAUAUAUUAUAUAUACUCUCAAUCCGACACAAACUUCUCUUUUGUAGCACACCUGCAUCCCAAAUUUUUUAAAGUACACGUGCACAAAUGGAGCCUGACACGGCUAGACCAACCUAUCUAGUUAAUCUAACGUCGUGUACACUUGACUCGUGAUAGUAAUAAAAUUUGAAUUGUUAAUUUCUAUUUAGUGCUUGGCAUUAUCUAAGAUUAUUUUAUUGUAUCUUAUCAGCAUGCCAUGAUUAUGUAAAAUAGAAUAUUAUGUCAACAAAACGACGAUUCUUACUCCAUACAACGAGUGACUUUUAGAUAAAAUUAAUGUCUUAACAAGUUAUAUAUCUUAAUCUACUAUAACGGGUUAUGGAUGUGGAAGAAUUUAUACCUAUGCAAGAGAUUACGUUCGUAUCUAGUCGAACUUGAUACAUUUUGUUACUUUGAAUAAAUAAAAUGUUUGGUUAUGUCUCUUAAAGUAUUUUAAAAUAUCUUUCAAUAAAUGGAUAAAAGUCGAUUUCAAUUUUUUCACCACCUAUAUUUGUUAGUAAAAAGAGUUAAAGGUACAAUAUUAUUUGGACCAAAAAAAAAAAAUAUAUAUAUAUGAUAGUUGAUAAUAAUUAGUAUACUAGUGACGAGACAUUCAAAUAUACUUCGGGUUUCUUGGGUUAUAUUAGUCACAAGAUUCAGAAAGGGAGCAAUUAAAUUUAAAUUAUUGAAAUAUUAGAGACGUAUAAUUUAUUAUUUUGUUAGCUUCUUUACCAUAAAUUUUGGGUUGUCACUGUCCUAUAUAUCAUAGUUAUCCCUAAUUAAUAAUUAAUCACUGCAUUAAUUUACUGGUAUGAUAAAUGAUAGUGACUUCAAUUUUAUCCAUCCACCGACCACCAAGAUCGUGUUUGGCUCAAGGUUAAAGAAAUUAUAACAUCUUUUCAAAUUACCAUACUUCAUCAAAUUAGCAAUGACACCAUCCAUGCUCUGAAUUACGUCAUACAUUCAUUUCAAAGAGUAGGAAAACAUUUUAUAACAAUGAUUUUACUACAAGUACACCGAGCUACACAGCUUGAUAUACAGCCCCCUCCCAAUAUAGGGCCCGUGAUUUUCGCAUUGGGCACGGGCUCCCUAUUGCAAGGGAGUUGCAUACCAAACUGUGUAGUUUGAUGUACAAAUAUAAAAACCCUUAUAGCAAAUGUCGGCACAGUUAUAAGCUACCACAUGUCAUCGUGUUGACAUGGUGACACGUUUUCAACAUGCUAAUUCCCUAGUCCAAUGUCUUGUGAUGACUUUCGCAACCAAUAAAAAAAUAAAGACAAUCCAUUCCCCGUUUCUAUUUAUUUUUUAAUAACAUAUUUUCUCAUAAAUUAACUUAUACAUAAAUUCAAAACUUUUUUCAUACUUUUAACCAUAUAUUUUUGUAAAACAAUUGGAAUCAAAUAGGUCCUAACUAAAAUUUCAAAUACGCUAAAAUAUUGUAUCUAGAGACUGUAAUUAUUGUCCUGAACAAUGCUGCUAGAAUGUAAGCCCCUGUUUCACCCCGAUUUUGUGGAAAUGAAAAUGGGAGGAAUAAUGAUUUUUCUAAAAAUGAGUGGUUGAAAAUGAAGGAAAAAUUUUCGAUUUACAUGUAAUAUUAUUUUAUGGAAGAUCGUGUGAUUGAAAAUAAAAGAGAGAGAAAUUAAAUAUAAUUAAUGAAAAUUAAUGCGAGACAAACGGGGGCUUAAUGCAGGGUGAGCUGCAAUUUAUAGAACCAAUUUAUUUGAAAGUAUACGUCAUAGUAAAUUCUAUUGACGUAUUUAUUUGACACGCGUAUUAAAAUUUUUAUUUUUGGUUCUAUUAAUAACUACCUAUACUAGAUAAAAAUUUUGACUUUGCCUCCGGAUUACAUUGAUUUUAGCAUCAGUGGGUUUGUCAACAUGUAGUUUAAGUGAUUGAAUGUUGACUUGUGUGGGCUUAAGAGGAUGUUUGAUGAGAAUUAAAAAAAAAAAAAAUUUAUAGAAAUUUUUGAAAUGUAUAGUUGAAAAGUUAUGAAUCUUAUAAAGUAUGUGGUUAAAAUUUAAUAUUGACUUUGAAUUAAGAUUUUAAUUCAAAACAAACAGGAGCUAAGGAGCUAAGUAGAUGAGUAUGAAUUGAGAAUAAUUUACACGUAGACCAUUAAAAUCAGUCAACUAAAGUAAAAGGACGUUUGAUUAAUUGACAUUGAUCCAAUAAAAGUAAAAGGAUGUUUGAUUAAUUGACAUUGAUCCAAUUUUUGAUUGCGCUGUCUAAAUUAUUUGACUAAUCGAUCAAUAAAUACUAUGACAUGUAGGUAGUCAUAUUGUAUCGUGUUAAUAUAUUUAUUUUAAAAUUAAAAUAAAUAACAAUACGUAAAUGAUAUAGAUGGAUCAAAUUAAAUAAUAUUUUAAAUUUUUUAUUUAAAAAAGUUUCAUUUGUAUAUUGUAUUUUCGUGAUUUUCGAACCAGCAAUACAUAUGCUCGCUGGCAAAAAAACCUCAAGAUUAAUCCUAUGACGUUCUCCUAAAACAAGAAAAUCAUAGCAAAAAGUAUGAGAGUUGGGAUUUAUCAUCUGCUAUAAUUGAGAUUACCAUCGUAAUGAGUUGAGAUUUUGGUAGGCAAAUGAAGACACAUUAUUACCUGAUUAAUGAAGGUUGAACCCCAAUCUUGAGGGCUUCGUCCCGCCCCGUUUCGCUCCUAGGAUUUUGUGAGGGAGAUAAAUCGCGGGAUGUACCCUAACAGACUAGGGAACAAGAGCUGCCUGUACACUGCGCCUACAAGGAAUUAUUACCUAAUUAAUGAGUAAUACUUUUGCAUGUUUAUUCCAAAAUGACUUAAUUGGCUGUCCUAGGAUAGAGAAGAGAAUAAAUGAAACGAGAGUAAAUAUAUGACAUGCCCAUAUUUAUUAAAUAUAAUAUUGUGUUUUAAAUCUUUCCUAAACGGGCACUUAAUAUUUUGGAAGAUUGUGGUGGAGUGUCAUAUUACAUAGGUUAGACAUUAUAAGAAUUAAAUCGAACUAGUCAAAAUGGUCAAAAAAUAGAGACGUGAUCCAAAUUCUAAUAUUUAUUAAUGUAAAAAUGCAAAUGUAAACUCCAUUAAAAGAAACACAUAAACAGCUGAUUCACUCGAAAUCCAAUUGAACAAGAACUUGUUUUACCAAUUUAUUUUCUGAAUAAGAAGAAAAAAUUAUUUAUUUAUUGACCACCACUUCAAUCUUUUUUCAGAACACGAGUUUAGCCUUUUGAUUCUUAACCCUUUAUUUUUGUGGACCAAUAGAAAGAAACUUUUGAUUAUUUGGUAAGUUGCUUAGCUUCAUUCUUUAUUUGCAUAAAAUCAUAAAUUAUUUUGACUUGAUUUCUAUUUGUAUCGAUAAGUGCAUUAAUUACAUUUUCACAAAAAAUAAAAAAAUCAGCAUAUUUCCCUGAAAACUGGAUAGAAUUAUUCUUACUACUCCCUUCAACUACCCUAGCCAUUUUCUAAUAUUGUGCCUUUGGGAACGAACCAUGUUCUAAUAAAGCUCCUAAAUUUUGCCGGCUCACCAUCGUUGAGAAGACAUGGUACUCAUUUACGAGCAUAUGGUGACUAACGAUUACGUGCCAUAGUUUAAAAUUGUCCAUCCAAAUAGCGGGGUGAGGUCACAAAUUUAUAUUAUGGUCAGCCACAUUACGGUAUGGUUACUUAGUGAGGAAGGUUAACACAAAACAAGUCAAAAUUCCGUACUUUAUAUUGUUUAGUCUUAUCUAAUAGACUUAUAUACCUUAUAAGAAACAUGUCUUUUCUGUUUUAACUUUUUAAGGCAAAAGAAAGUAAUUGUCAAUCAUAAAUUAGAAAAUAUAAUGCCAAAAGCUGCCCUUGCAAACAUUAAGAGCAUUUAUACAGGCAAAAGAUUAGGAAAAUGACAGUGCACAGAUUUCCCAAGAUAAGGGCAGUGCGGCUUAGAGGUACAUGCUCAAAUCUAGAAAUUCAAUGCCUAAAUAAAGAAUAUAUCUCUUUAUUAGCAUAUUUAAUCACUAAGAGAGAGGACGUGUCCCUCUGUAAAACCCAACAUAACAUACAGAAUAUAAGCCUCAAAGAACAUUUCAAAGGAACAUAAACGAUAAGGGUACAAUAUCCUCUGGUUUCUAACAAAAAUAAUUUUAGCAAAAGAAUUCAUGGCGUCAGAGCCCAGUGGCGUGCAUGAAAAUGGUACAUCUUCAACUUGUGUUGAAAAUGGACAGCCACUGUCGACUGAAAGAACAGAUUACAAGAAUAAAAUCGUGAGACACCCUCGAUGGAGGAGACAAGAAACACUUUUCCUCAUAGAAGGCAAGAAGGUUGCAGAGGAUCGAGGGCUAAAGGGUAGAAGAUCCAGUUCAAUUUUCGGGUCGGACCAGUAUGAGCCGAAGUGGGACUCGGUCUCAUCAUACUGUAGACAGCGAGGAGUGAACCGAGGACCAGUUCAAUGCCGGAAAAGAUGGAGUAACCUCGUCUGUGAUUUCAGGAAGAUAAAAAUGUGGGAGUCUCGGGUAAAAGGAGUUAAUGAAUCGUUCUGGACAAUGAGAAGCGAUUUAAGAAGGGAUAGGAGACUUCCUGGUUUCUUUGAUCGAGAAGUCUAUGAUGUCUUGGACGGAAAAACAUUCACAGACGAUGCAUAUCGACUAGCACUUGUGCCAGUAAGUCCAGAUGAAAAUAAUGGUUACAGCAUAGAUGGGGUUGAAGCUGAAGAUGAGGAUGAAAUGGUGGAGGACGAGGAGGGCGAGGCAGUUUUCCAUGGAAAACAUCACAGCAUACCAGAGGAUCGCAUUUUCCCAGAAUUUGAACAGGUAGCACAAGAUGAAAUAGGGGAGAGUCAAGGAAAUGAAAAGGCUACAAAAGAUGACAGAACAAAGCCAAUUCCUUCACCAGUGCCAAUAUCAGGUAUCUUAAUCAUCUUUUUCAACUAGUGUCUCUCACCAUGAAAUAUACAACACUAAAAGUUUUUCUAUCAUUGGCAGAGAAAAAAUAUCAACCACAUCAUGAGGCAUAUUCAAAUCGAGGUAAACUCCAUAAAACCGUAUUAUGAUAAUCCAUUAUGCUCAUAAUGUCAUCUGGACUUGAAAUUGCAAUAGGCAAAAACGUUUUGUGUUUUGAUAAGAGUUAAGUCGACGAGAUCCUAACAUAAUUGAUUGCAAAUCGUACAUUUAUUGCUUGUGAUUUCAUUGUUUAUCGUGUUGAAGGAUAAAAGCAUAAAUUGAAAAUAUCCCCCCUCCCCUCAGAACCUAUAAUUAGCUGUCGUAGUUCAAUGUGUUAUCAAUGUAGGCAAAGAUUCCAUGCUCAAGGCUCAAAAGCCACCUGUUUAUAAAAAAUUAUGUGUGUUAGGCUCUUGACAAAUAAUUGAAUCCAACCUACACGUAGGAAGUGUGAUGAAGAUAUACUAUAGAUAUAUUUCUCUAAUUCAUAAUGAAUGAUAGUGAUAUGUGCAUUUGAAUUUAUCAGGUACAGAAAGAGGGAAACGGCCACAACCAAAUUUCGAGACAGGAUCUACCAUGUUUCAGGAGGGAGUGACGAGAAGAAGAUUUUCAUCAGAUGGAUGUCAAAUUAUUGACGCAACGGAUCGCUUAAUCAGAGUUCUCCAGAGUAACGCCAUUCUUCUGAAUGCGCAACUUGAAGCUCAAAAUAUGAACCGUCAAGUUGACAGAGAGCAGCGAAAUGACCAGCACAACAGUUUAGUCAUUGCUCUAAACAAGAUUACUGAUGCACUAGCAAAAAUUGCUGAUAAGUUGUAACUGCGAGCAUCCAUAAAUACCUAUUGUAUGUUAUGUGCGAUCCAGUGCUAUCCUAUCCAUCUUACCAAACAUGACACUAUAAUCCGUGAAGUGUUCUUGUUCAGUACUUUAGAGUAAGGAGAACAAAAGUAGGGUUUUCAGUGAAUUUCUAAGACUUCUCCUGAAUUUUCAAUCUUAGCCAAUCUGCUUGUACGAUAAUUUGACUAAUUCUUUGGCAAAUUGUCGUAUCAUCGGCCAUUAUGUACUGUAAAUGAAUAUCUUAAGUUGGCAUAUUUCAGUAAAAAUUGGAACUCUAGCGUAAUGGCUGGAGAGCUAAAUAAAAGUCAACACGAGUUGUUCAUUUCUUGACCUUGAUCUCACUAAGUCAAUAAAAUAAUUAACAGAACAGAAAUCAUUCAGCAAAAACCAAGCGUUCGCUAAAAACUAAAUAAGAAUACAUGAGUACAUGAGUAUACAAAGGUGCAGCCGUGCAGAACUCCAGCAAUAUAGAUUGACACCAUUUACACUUAAAAUCGAGAUUAAUUGAAAAUUGUCCACGAAGAUAAAGGUUUAGUAACAUAAUUCUCAAACUAAUAUACACGGUACAAGUCAAUAUGUACUUAAAAGAAAAGAAAAGAAAACAUCUGACCUUUUUCUGUGUUAAGCACGAACAGCCUCAACAAGAUUGGCAAAGUAAAAUUGUGUUGUAAUUAAGCCUCUCUCUCUUAUUCUCCACCCAACUUUUUGCAGCGCUCUCUCUACAUCAGCCUCGGCAUGCAAAUACGCCCUUGUAGCCUUUGAUGGUCCCGGGAACAACUCUCCAAUUCUCUUCAACAGGGAAUAGUAGAAUGUCUUCGGGGCAAAGCUCAAAAUCAAUCGAUUCUCAGCCAACGAAGCAAGGUGGGCAAUCAUUGCAUCUGCCUUACUUUGUGGAUAGUGUAUUAAAACAUCUAAACAGACAACCGUGUCGUACUUUCCACUCAAGCUCUCUAAAUCAUUCACUUCAAAUUUCGGAAGUACAAAUCCCUGGGAGAGCUCAUCUUUGCCUUCUAAAAGCUCUUCUCGUGCCUACAAAGCCAUAUAAAUAAAGUAAUCAAACCGAUAUCAGCAUUAAAGAUAAUUUUGUCAACUCAAUAUUCUGGUUACACAGCACUAAUGUCUAGCAGUACAAAUUUGAACAAAUUCAAUUAUCAAUAACAAGAGUAAUAAUUAAUGCGUGAUGAACAAACUGUUAGAUAAAUAAAUUUGUAGCUUUUAGACGAGUUAAUUUCAACAUAACAUAAUGAAUUCUAGUCCACUCCCAAUCAUUCAUAAAAAUCCUACACGCGAAAGACCUUUAACGAAAUAAAUAAACAAAUUCAUCGCCUUUUUAACAAAAUCAAAACUUUUAGACGAAUAAGUUGAAGAACGAAUGCCCACCUUUUUCUCAGCUUCAGCAACCAUGGCAGCCGAGAUAUCACUGGCCGACACCAGGGCGCCCUCCCUAGCCAAUGGAAUCGACAAACUCCCGGUCCCACACCCUGCAUCGCAUACAGUUACACCCUUCAGCGACCCCUCAUCCCUCAGCAUCUUCAUCACAUUCUCCACAGUUUUGGAGUGCCCAAUUCUUAUGUCUAGCUGCACUUUGUUAACAUUAUCCGUCUCUCCAUAUAUCCUGCGCCACCGUUGGAACCCAUCGUUGUUAAAGUACUCCUUAACCACUUCCUUGUCCCCGCCACCGACCUCCUCCGCCUGCAUUUGCCGCCGCCUCUCGGGGUCGGUGAGGGAAAGCACGGUGGCGAGUGCUGCAACUGAACUACCACCGAUGACGGCUAGAGCGGUGCUGUCGAAAGGGUUUCCCACCACGGAGACGUCUGUAGCGGUAGAGAGUGGCGGAAUGGCGGCGACGACUCCGGGAGUUUUAAAGCGGUGGCGGUUAAGGAGUGUCGGGUUUUGUGAGAGUUGUAUUGGACAUAAUAAGGACGAAGUGAUGGCCAUUCUUUGAGCAAGUAUGUCUCUCCGUCCGGCGGGAGAAUUUCGUUAAAAUUGAGGAUGUUUGGAGUGGACAGUUGAUGAUAAUGUAAUCCGGUAAUGAGGAAAGAAUUCGCCACGUGUCUUAUGUGGAUCCCAAAAAUAAAUCCAUAAAAAGUUGAAGAUCAACUUGUUACAAAUACAAUAGAUUGAGGACCAAUUCUGCUAAUAUUCCAUUCAUCCUACCAUACUCCAAGUCGUUUCAUCUUCUAGAGUUAACUUUUAGUGUCAACAAAAUAAGAUGAAGGGUUACCUAUAAUUUUAUAAUAAUUACUUAUUAAACUCUAAUUUUCCAAAUUUGACAAAUUAGUCUAUGCAUUUACAUGCACUAAAUUUGAUUUUCUAGUGAUGAAAACAAGAAAAAAAGAUUUUCUCUCAAAGUUAAAAGACAAAAAAUAUCGUUGUAAAUUAAUUCACACGUAAUUUACAAUGUUUAUAACAGGUAAAUGGCUCUAUGGACUACCUGCAAUUUCCUUGCAUACUCCUCAUUUCCAUAGUCAAUGAUGUUACCUCUAGAGAUCGAGCUUGAACAAUUAAACUAAUUGAUUCCAUUAAAUGUGUGAAUCGACAUAGCUAUGAUUUGAGGACAAUACUAAAAGCAAGACUUAAAGAUAGGGAUGACAAAUUGACUUUCUCGACUAGGGCACCCGUGGGCCCUAGUGGCUUGCGGGCCAGCUAAAAAAAAAAAGAAAGAAAACGUUGUUGGCUAAAUUUAGGCAACAGUAACCUGCUACCUUUUAUAGGAAGCUACACGCUGCAUAGGUAGCACCACCAUGAACAGAUCACACCAACUUGUUAAACCCACCACCAUCACCUGUAACCUACCUGGAUACACUACACCACCAUUAUCAUCAUUGAUCGCCACCACCUCCACCUACAUCAUCAACAAAAGUCACCGCUAGAUCCACUUUUCUCAGUCUAUAUUCUCCUUUCCCUCAUCUCGCCCUUUCCCUCUCCUGUUGUCGAAAACUUGCAAUGCAACGUCGAAGCCAUGGUUGUGCCGCCUCACUGCACACAAUGGUGUCUCGCUGCAAAUGGCGCAACUAUGCCCAACAACUACGGAUGGCGUAGCCAUAUCCAGCGACGGCGAUGGUGCUACUGCCAGAAUUUGCAGCACCACCGUUGGACCGACAACAAAUGGGCUGGGUUUGUGUCACCGUGGUAUCAUGUUGUAGUCACUGCCCGCAAGGCGUUGUCUCCGUAGUCCGACGGUGAUUCGACAGUUAAAAAAAAAAGGAAAGAAAAAGAAGAAGGAGAAGAAAAGAGAAUGAAUAGUAGGGAGAUAAAACAGAUAGUAUAGAGAGAAUGGGUAAAAUUAGGGUUUGGAAAUUAAGAAUUGGGUGAAAUAUUUAAUAUAUAAAUUAUUAAAUUAAUACUUGAUUUUUGCAUAAUGAAACUUCAACUUUGAUUUUUGAAUUGUGAUGUUUAAACUCCUAGUUUUGUGUAAUUUCCACUAAAUAAUUCUCAAUUCGACCCAACCAUUUAUUUCCACACGAGACCCAAUAAUUUCGAAAUAAGGAAUAAUCACACCAUAACCUACUUUUUUACUAAAAGUUCAAAAAUAUCCUCUUUUAACUUUUUAAAUUUUUACCCCACAUUUAAAUCACACCUACUAAAAAUACCACACUUUUUUCUGUUUUAUAAACUUUUUAGAAAAUAUUUAUUUACCGUUCCAAAAAAAAGUUACAAUAAUUUAAACUUACUUUCUCUCAUCAAUAUUUCGAAUUUUGAAGUCACUAUCUCCUGACUUGCUUCAUCGCCAUCAUUGUGACCACUACUACCACCAUACCGUCGAACCUCAGGACGAACAUCGUCAUGGCACACUGCUGACCAACAUUGAAACCAACUUGUUCUCCAUUUGACUCCAUCGCCAUACGUCUCCUUCCUCAAACAUACAAGGUUUCUCUAAGAUUUGAUUGACUAAUAUUUUGGGAAGAAUACUGCACAAAGAUCAUGAUGAUGACAUCGUGGUCUGCUGGAUAGGAGCUAUUAAGCCCUUUGGUCGUGGCAUAUCAAAUCUUCAAUUUUCAAACCACUACGUCGGUCUAUUAGUCUUGUCUUGGGAUAAGGUCCCUCAGUUAUUUAUUUAUUUAUUAUUUUUAUUAUGUUGCACUUAGACUUGCUAUUUUAGAUCUUAAUUGUCUUUUUUUUAAUAGAUAAAUUGAAAUAUUUUAACGAUACUCUACAAGAAACACAAUAACACAUAUGUUAUCCUAGCCUAUAAUUCGUAAAGAUGUCUAUAUUUAAAUGAAAACUUAAAUAGUAAUUUUAAAUGAUAAGGGGGCAUAUUUAAAAAAAAAAAAAAUAUAUAUNNNNNNNNNNNNNNNNNNNNNNNNNNNNNNNNNNNNNNNNNNNNNNNNNNNNNNNNNNNNNNNNNNNNNNNNNNNNNNNNNNNNNNNNNNNNNNNNNNNNNNNNNNNNNNNNNNNNNNNNNNNNNNNNNNNNNNNNNNNNNNNNNNNNNNNNNNNNNNNNNNNNNNNNNNNNNNNNNNNNNNNNNNNNNNNNNNNNNNNNNNNNNNNNNNNNNNNNNNNNNNNNNNNNNNNNNNNNNNNNNNNNNNNNNNNNNNNNNNNNNNNNNNNNNNNNNNNNNNNNNNNNNNNNNNNNNNNNNNNNNNNNNNNNNNNNNNNNNNNNNNNNNNNNNNNNNNNNNNNNNNNNNNNNNNNNNNNNNNNNNNNNNNNNNNNNNNNNNNNNNNNNNNNNNNNNNNNNNNNNNNNNNNNNNNNNNNNNNNNNNNNNNNNNNNNNNNNNNNNNNNNNNNNNNNNNNNNNNNNNNNNNNNNNNNNNNNNNNNNNNNNNNNNNNNNNNNNNNNNNNNNNNNNNNNNNNNNNNNNNNNNNNNNNNNNNNNNNNNNNNNNNNNNNNNNNNNNNNNNNNNNNNNNNNNNNNNNNNNNNNNNNNNNNNNNNNNNNNNNNNNNNNNNNNNNNNNNNNNNNNNNNNNNNNNNNNNNNNNNNNNNNNNNNNNNNNNNNNNNNNNNNNNNNNNNNNNNNNNNNNNNNNNNNNNNNNNNNNNNNNNNNNNNNNNNNNNNNNNNNNNNNNNNNNNNNNNNNNNNNNNNNNNNNNNNNNNNNNNNNNNNNNNNNNNNNNNNNNNNNNNNNNNNNNNNNNNNNNNNNNNNNNNNNNNNNNNNNNNNNNNNNNNNNNNNNNNNNNNNNNNNNNNNNNNNNNNNNNNNNNNNNNNNNNNNNNNNNNNNNNNNNNNNNNNNNNNNNNNNNNNNNNNNNNNNNNNNNNNNNNNNNNNNNNNNNNNNNNNNNNNNNNNNNNNNNNNNNNNNNNNNNNNNNNNNNNNNNNNNNNNNNNNNNNNNNNNNNNNNNNNNNAAAUUUACAAGCCAUUAUGUUUCACAAGUACAAUAAAUAGUCUCCGUUCGGCAAAUUUAUAAAAAAGAAUAAUAUUGAAUUCGACGAAAUGUGUUGAUAAUAAUGAGUUAUGUUCCGUAUUUGUUUAAAAUUAAUUUUUAACUUUUAUAGAAUUUAUAAACUAUUUAUAAAAUUUGUCCACAAAAGGAAGCUUAUUGGAUGAUGAAAAAGUUUUUUACAAAAUUUAAUGGAACUUUAAAUAUUAUAGAUUGUUUAGCGAUGAACAAUGGGAUUUAUUUUUUAUUUUUGGUAUCACUAAACAACGGAAAACGUUUUUAAGGUUUAUAUAUAUAUAUAUAUAUAUAGAGAAAAAAAUUUGUAGGAUACACAAGUAUUACUCACUUCCUCCACUCACUCAUCUCUAUCAACUUAUAAUUUUAGCAAAAAAUAAACAAAUAAGGCAUAGUUCAGCUUGCUUUUUCUUUUUCUUUUUUCUAUUUUAUAAAUAAUUUGUUGGAUACAUUGCUAAAUUUAUUGAAAAUGUAUAAAGAAAUCUUGAGAGGAACCACUAAGGAACCAACCGUAGAAUUGACAAUUGAAGAGGAAGUGGUUGAGGAAUGAAACGCAUUAAAAAAUUCACGGGACAUGUGUCGAAAAGAAAUCAAGGUUUAUUUGUUAGAUAAUGACAUGACAUGGGAUUAUAUAUAAACUUAAAUAAAUGACAUUUUUUUCUGAAGUGAUCAGAAUAUGAAAUGUUACAUAUCGCUUGCAUUCCACUUCAUAUAUCUUGUCAUGGUACCCUGGAUGAUAAGACCCACAGAAAAGUUCGAAACGUUUUAUAUGUGCAUUUUCUAUUUUUCGUUAUCGAAAGGUGUUGAAUAAAAAGCACCAUAUGUGCAUCUUCAUCAAACUUUUCCUCUACCCAAGAAGCAUGAGCAUGGAGCAUUGCAUGUGCAUAUUCAUUAAUUCAACUUUUCGUUAUUGACUAGGCCUCGUGCUCUUGUCUCUUCAUAACAAAAAUCCAAUUCUGGAUGUGAAAUGAGUUCGACCUUGACUUCAAGGCUCCAAUUCGUUAAUUGGAUAUUUUUUUUGUGACUCAAACUUAAUAGUUUCACCUAACAUGUCACGUGUAAUAAAUGGACAUUCCAAGUUAAAUCAAGUGUAACUCUGUGAAUUGAUUUUCCUCGACAUGAAGUCAGAAGCAUGUGAAUUCUACGACACAAGUCGUGAAACGCGGUACAGAAGAUGCACAAGUUGUCUAUUGAAGGAUGAGAAGGAAUAUAUUAUAUAUACUCUCAAUCCGACACAAACUUCUCUUUUGUAGCACACCUGCAUCCCAAAUUUUUUAAAGUACACGUGCACAAAUGGAGCCUGACACGGCUAGACCAACCUAUCUAGUUAAUCUAACGUCGUGUACACUUGACUCGUGAUAGUAAUAAAAUUUGAAUUGUUAAUUUCUAUUUAGUGCUUGGCAUUAUCUAAGAUUAUUUUAUUGUAUCUUAUCAGCAUGCCAUGAUUAUGUAAAAUAGAAUAUUAUGUCAACAAAACGAUGAUUCUUACUCCAUACAACGAGUGACUUUUAGAUAAAAUUAAUGUCUUAACAAGUUUUAUAUCUUAAUCUACUAUAAUGGGUUAUGGAUGUGCAAGAAUUUAUAUCUAUGCAAGAGAUUACGUUCAUAUCUAGUCGAACUUGAUACAUUUUGUUACUUUGAAUAAAUAAAAUGUUUGGUUAUGUCUCUUAAAGUAUUUUAAAAUAUCUUUCAAUAAACGGAUAAAAGUCGAUUUCAAUUUUUUCACCACCUAUAUUUGUUAGUAAAAAGAGUUAAAAGUACAAUAUUAUUUGGACCAAAAAAAAAAUAAAUAUGAUAGUUGAUAAUAAUUAGUAUACUAGUGACGAGACAUUCAAAUAUCCUUCGGGAUUCUUGCAGUUAUAUUAGUCACAAGAUUAAGAAAGGGAGUAAUUAAAUUUAAAAUAAUGAAAUACUAGAGACGUAUUAUCUAUUAUUUUGUUAGCUUCUUUACCAUAAAUUUUGGGUUGUCACUGUCCUAUGUAUCAUAGUUAUCCCUAAUUAAUAAUUAAUCACUGCAUUAAUUUACUGGUAUGAUAAAUGACAGUGACUUCAAUUUUAUCCAUCCACCAAGAUCGUGUUUGGCUCGAGGUUAAAGAAAUUAUAACAUCUUUUCAAAUUACCAUACUUCAUCAAAUCAGCAAUGACACCAUCCAUGCUCUGAAUUACGUCAUACAUUCAUUUCAAAGAGUAAGGAAACAUUUUAUAACAAGAAUUUUACUACGAGUACACCAAGCAACACAACUCGAUAUACAACCCCCUUACAAUAGAGGGCCCGUGAUUUUCUUAUUGGGUGCGGACUCCUUAUUGUAAGGGGGUUGCAUACCGAACUGUGUAGUUCGAUGUACAAAUAUAAAAACCCUUAUAGCAAAUGUCGGCACAGUCAUAAGCUACCACAUGUCAACGUGUUGACAUGGUGACACGUUUUCAACAUGCUAAUUCCCUAGUCCAAUGUCUUGUGAUGACUUUCGCAACCAAUAAAAAAAUAAAGACAAUACAUUCCCCGUUUCUACUUAUUUUUUAAUAACAUAUUUUCUCAUAAAUUAACUUAUACCUAAAUUCAAAACUUUUUUCAUACCUUUAACCAUAUAUUUUUGUAAAACAAUUGGAAUCAAAUAGGUCCAAACUAAAAUUUCAAAUACGCUAAAAUAUUGUAUCUAGAGACUGUAAUUAUUGUCCUGAACAACGCUGCUAGAAUGUAAGCCCCUGUUUCACCCCGAUUUUGUGAAAAUGAGAAUGGGAGGAAUAAUGGUUUUUCUAAAAAUGAGUGAUUGAAAAUGAAGGAAAAAUUUUCGAUUUACAUGUAAUAUUAUUUUAUGGAAGAUCGUGUGAUUGAAAAUAAAAGAGAAAAAAAUUAAAUGUAAUUAAUGAAAAUUAAUGCGAGCCAAACGGGGCUUAAUGAAGGGUGAGCUGCAAUUUAUAGAACCAAUUUAUCUGAAAGUAUACGUCAUAGUAAAUUCUAUUGACGUAUUUAUUUGACACGCGUAUUGAAAAUUUUAUUUUUGGUUCUAUUAAUAACUACCUAUACUAGAUAAAAAAUUUGACUUUGCCUCCGGAUUACAUUGAUUUUAGCAUCAGUGGGUUUGUCAACAUGUAGUUUAAGUGAUUGAAUGUUGACUUGUGUGGGUUUAAUAGGAUGUUUGAUGAGAACUAAAAAUAAAUUUAAGUAGAUGAGUAUGAAUUGAGAAUAAUUUGCACGUAGACCAUUAAAAUCAGUCAACUAAAGUAAAAGGACGUUUGAUUAAUUGACAUUGAUCCAACAAAAGUAAAAGGAUGUUUGAUUAAUUGACAUUGAUCCAAUUUUUGAUUGCGCUGUCUAAAUUAUUUGACUAAUCGAUCAAUAAAUACUAUGACAUGUAGGUAGUCAUAUUGUAUCGUGAUAAUAUAUUUAUUUUAAUUUUAAAAUAAAUAACAAUACGUAAAUGAUAUAGAUGGAUCAAAUUAAAUAAUACUUUAAAUUUUUUAUUUAAAAAAGUUUCAUUUGUAUGUUGUAUUUUCGUGAUUUUCGAACCGACAAUACAUAUGCUCGCUGGCAAAAAAAAAAACUCAAGAUUAAUCCUACGACGUUCUCCUAAAACAACAAAAUCAUAGCAAAAAGUACGAUGAUCGAGAUCACUAUCUUAUCACUGUAGUGAGUUGGGAUUUAUCAUCUGCUAUAAUUGAGAUUACCAUCGUAAUGAGUUGAGAUUUUGGUAGGCAAAUGAAGACACAUUGUUACCUGAUUAAAGAGUAAUACUUUUUCAUGUUUGUUCCAAAAUGACUUAAUUGGCUGUCCUAGGAUGAAGGACAGCAUGGAUUGAUUGACAAACUAACAUAGUACACAUUUUAACCAGUAAUAUUUAACGCACAAUUUAAUUCUCACUGAUCGUCACAUGUAAUGUUACAACAUGUUUUUAUUUUUUCUUAUUUCCAUUACUUUUAUUUUAGACUUUUGUCUUUGUGAAGUGAAUUUUACACAAUUUGAAAUAACUAAACUUGUUUGAGAAUGAUAAAAUAGAAUCACGAGAAUCAUCGAUUAACUUAAAUAUUCGCGAGUUUCAAUUUCAUGUUCGUCACUUUUCUCCAAUUCUAGACCGAACCCCUUUAUUUCCUACUUGGCUAAUGCUUAGGACGAAAUAACAGUCAAUAUAGAUAGAGAUGCCAUUAUCUUGAAUAAAGUUAAUUUUUUCUUGAUGAAGAUUCUUCCAUAGUACAAUCUUUCGUGCCACACAAAACUACUAAUUGACAAAUUUAAUUGGGUCCCUUAACUUUUUGUUAUGUUCUUCCACCAUGCUAUAUUAGCUGGCAACACGUGAUUUCCACGGUUGUACCUAGUGAAUUUUCAGGAUUAGCAAAUUAAAAAAAAAAAAAAAAAAAAAGGUUGAACCUCGACUUUGAGGACUCCCACCGUCCCGCCCCUAAAUCUUUGUGAGGGAGGUAAAUCGCGGGAUGUGCUCCAUCAGGUUAGAUAACAAGAGUUGUUUUACACUGCGCCUACAAGGAGUCCAAUUCCAUGUCUCAAAAAUCGAACCCCUAUACUGCGACUGUUAGUAAGGCGCGAGAUAACCUCACUCCCAUCCUUUGCACCAGGCUAUGUCCCGGGGGGCGGAUUAGCAAAUUUCUAAGUGAUUAGUUACCAUUUUCCAUAUUACACAAUAUUUGUUUAGAGUCCAUUUAGUGAAAUUCUCUAACUGGAGUUAAACAAAAGUCAUAACGUUUCGAUGGUCUAGUCAGAUUUAGUAUUGAGAUUAGCAUGACCCAAUAUUUUUGUACGCCGUGCAGAAUUUGAAAUGAUUGAAAUUUUUGCAAUUUGGCAUUGAUAACGAUCGAAUCAUCGAAGUUGUUAAUGGCCAGUUAAGUAGGUAUUAAUGGGUAGUUCGCGUAAGAAUUAGAAAAAAGUGAAAGUUUGGGAACUUAUAAUAAUAGCCGAUGAAAUUGGGUAUGGAUGAUAAAUGAAUUUUGAAGAAUUAUGGAAAAACGAGGGAUUAGGUGAGUGGUUGCUUUUUAACUUUUAUUGUACUGAUUGAUUGUUACUUUGGUGUAUUAUUCCAAAUUCCUACACUUUCAAUAGUUUUGUGUCACCUUUUUUACUUUUUCCACACUUCCCAUUUCAAACGUAUUAUGAACUUUUUGGAUGUGGAAUGCAAAAUGGGUCUGUUUGCCGUUUUGGGAAUUUGUACUUUUGACCCCAACAAGACCCAAAGAUUAUGGGUACAACAAAAUUUUCCACGGGAUUGGAAAAUUGACCGCGGUAAAGAUGUUCACUAGCUGCAACAAUUUCUUCUAACAUCGCCUUUAUUAGCUCUCUCCGUGUCUCUCCAUAUACAGUACUAACCCCCUUGCUUCACUUUCACUCACUAUAUACUUGCUCAAUGGAACUUGCUUUUAUAGAGAGAGGAAAUUGAAAAAAGCUAGAGUGAGAAACAUAGAGGGACGAAAUUCACUGAAAAUCUUUGAAUUAAAAAAAAAAAAAAAAAAAAAAAAAAAAAGGUUGAACCUCGACUUUGAGGACUCCCACCGUUCCGUCCCUAAAUCUUUGCGAGGGAGGUAAAUCGCGGGAUGUGCUCCAUCAGGUCAGAUAACAAGAGUUGUCUUACAUUACGCCUACAAGGAGUCCAAUUCCAUGUCUGCGACUGCUAGUAAGGCGUGAGAUAACCUCACUCCCAUCCUUUGCACCAGGCUAUGUCUCGGGGGGCGGAUUAGCAAAUUUCUAAGUGAUUAGUUACCAUUUUCCAUAUUACACAAUAUUUGUUUAGAGUCCAUUUAGUGAAAUUCUCUAACUCGAGUUAAACAAAAGUCAUAAAGUUUCGAUGGUCUAGUCAGAUUUAGUAUUGAAAUUAGCAUGACCCAAUAUUUUUGUACGUAGUGCAAAAUUUGAAAUGAUUGAAAUUUUUGCAAUUUGGCAUUGAUAACGAUCGAAUCAUCGAAGUUGUUAAUGGCUAGUUAAGUAGGUAUUAAUGGGUAGUUCGCGUAAGAAUUAGAAAAAAGUGGAAGUUUGGGAACUUAUAAUAAUAGCCGAUGAAAUUAGGUAUGGAUGAUAAAUGAAUUUUGAAGAAUUAUGGAAAAACGAGGGAUUCGGUGAGUGGUUGCUUUUUAACUUUUAUUGUACUGAUUGAUUGUUACUUUGGUGUAUUAUUCCAAAUUCCUACACUUUCAAUAGUUUUGUGUCACCUUUUUUCCUUUUUCCACACUCCCCAUUUCAAACGUAUUAUGAACUUUUUGGAUGUGGAAUGCAAAAUGGGUCUGUUUGCCCUUUUGGGAAUUUGUACUUUUGACCCCAACAAGACCCAAAGAUUAUGGGUACAACAAAAUUUUCCGCGGGAUUGGAGAAUUGACCGCGGUAAAGAUGUUCAAUAACUGCAACAAUUUCUUCUAACAUUGCCUUUAUUAGCUCUCUCCGUGUCUCUCCAUAUACGGUACUAACCCCCUUGCUCCAUAUUCACUCACUAUAUACUUGCUCAAUGGAACUUGCUUUUAUAGAGAGAGGAAAUUGAAAAAAGCUAGAGCGAGAAACAUAGAGGGACGAAAUUCACUGAAAAUCUCCCGAUUCACCGAGAUUUCUAUUUGUAUGUGUGUGUAACUUCUUUUUAUGCGGGAUAAUUUGUGGGUUUGAAGUUAAAAGCGUGAUUUUCUGUUUAUCUUUUUGUGGGGUUUGGUUAUGGGAGAUCUGAGUUGAAAAAAGGGGUAAACAAAUGGCUACUUCAGAGAUGUCGAUCGACGGAGGCUCACAAUCGUUGAUGCCGGAAAAAAUUACUGGCGCCGGAAAUGGUAAUUCAGACGAUUUUACGGAUAUUACUUAGUCUUUGCAUGGGUUCUUUUUAUGGUUUAUCAGUAACCCUAUUUUAUGUUUAAUUUUUUGGGAAUUGGUUGAUAUACAGUGGAUGCUGAGACAGCGUUAUACACGGAGCUAUGGAGAGCAUGUGCUGGUCCUUUAGUUACCGUGCCUCGUGAACAAGACCUCGUUUUCUAUUUCCCCCAGGGUCACUUAGAAGAGGUUUUUUAUUUAUUGCUUGUGUUAUAUAUCUGCAUGAUAAAUUAGAAUUUAUUGAUAUAAUUCUUAUUUGCUGCCCGUUGAGAAUUUGUUUGAGGGUUUAGUUUAAGAUGGUAUAUACUUUGUUUGUUUUGUUCAUUCAUGAAGUUGCUUUAUUUAGACUAUGCUUAUUAGUCGAACGACUCCUUUUUUUAUUGGAUGUUUUUAUUAGGUGGAGGCGGCAACUAGCCAAAGUGCGGACCAGCAGAUGCCCGUGUAUAAUCUUCCACCGAAGAUCCUUUGCCGUGUGGCUAAUGUUCUGUUAAAGGUAAUUUGCUUGUUUGAAAUAUGAUCGAUUUGGUUGCUUUUGAAUCUAUAAGCUUCUGUAUUUUUUAUAAAUGCAUUUUUUGGGUGCUGCUUUUUGAAUAAGGCUGAACCGGAUACAGAUGAGGUGUUUGCGCAAGUAACCUUGAUGCCUGAAACUAAUGUAAGUUGAAUUGUGAUGAUCACUGGUAUACUUGAACUUCAAAUUUAAACUUUUGAAUUGAAUUGAUGUCUUGUUAUUUCAGCAAGAUGAAAAUGCAGUGAAGAAGGAAACAUUGCCACCGUCCUCACCAUGUUGUCGUGUGCAUUCUUUUUGCAAGACGUUGACUGCCUCAGAUACUAGCUCUCAUGGUGGAUUCUCAGUGUUGAGACGACAUGCUGACGAGUGUCUACCCCCUCUAGUUAGGACUUUUUACCUCAAUCUGUGUCUUAAGCAUGCGUUUCCAUUUGUUGGAAUUCAAGGUCUUACAAGGUUGGUUGUUUCCUAUGACAGGACAUGUCACAACAACCUCCAACCCAGGAGUUGGUGGCAAAAGAUAUGCAUGGCAAUGAGUGGCGAUUCAGACAUAUCUUUCGUGGUAGGAAAUAAAAACUGUAACGUUUUCUUGAUCACCGUGCAUGCUUGUAGUCAUCGAUCGCGUCUGGUCUAUUGCAAAUGAUGUCUGUGAUUGUAUGAAAAUGUACUGAAAAAUGAAAUCUAAUAAUACCAAUGAUAUAAUUCACUGGAACUUGCAAACACACAAAGCCUGAGCCAAAUGGUAGCAUUAAUUUUUUCUAGGUGGAAUGCUUUUGAAUUGGUGUAGUACGGGUUAUUUAAUGGAUUUUUUUGUGGGUUUGAAGUUAAAAGCGUGAUUUUCUGUUUAUCUUUUUGUGGGGUUUGGUUAUGGGAGAUCUGAGUUGAAAAAAGGGGGUAAACAAAUGGCUACUUCAGAGAUGUCGAUCGACAGAGGCUCACAAUCGUUGAUGCCGGAAAAAAUUACUGACGCCGGAAAUGGUAAUUCAGAUGAUUUUACGGAUAUUACUUAGUUUUUGCAUGGGUUCUUUUUAUGGUUUAUCAGUAACCCUAUUUUAUGUUUCAUUUUUUGGGAAUUGGGUGACAUACAGUGGAUGCUGAGACAGCUUUAUACACGGAGCUAUGGAGGGCAUGUGCUGGUCCUUUAGUUACCGUGCCUCGUGAACAAGACCUCGUUUUCUAUUUCCCCCAGGGUCACUUAGAAGAGGUUUUUUUAUUUAUUGCUUGUGUUAUAUAUCUGCUUGAUAAAUUAGAAUUUAUUGAUAUAAUUCUUAUUUGCUGCCCGUUGAAGAUUUGUAUGAGGGUUUAGUUUUAAGAUGGUAUAUACUUAGUUUGUUUUGUUCAUUCAUGAAGUUGCUUUAUUUAGGCUAAGCUUAUUAGUCAAACGACUCCUUUUUUAUUAGAUGUUUUUAUAUAGGUGGAGGCGGCAACUAGCCAAAGUGCAGACCAGCAGAUGCCCGUGUAUAAUCUUCCACCGAAGAUCCUUUGCCGUGUGGCUAAUGUUCUGUUAAAGGUAAUAUGCUUGUUUGAAAUAUGAUCGAUUUGGUCGUUUUUGAAUCUAUAAGCUUCUGUAUUUUUUAUAAAUGCAUUUUUUGGGUGCUGCUCUGUGAAUAAGGCUGAACCGGAUACAGAUGAGGUGUUUGCGCAAGUAACCUUGAUGCCUGAAACUAAUGUAAGUUGAAUUGUGAUGAUCACUGGUAUGCUUGAACUUCAAAUUUAAACUUUUGAAUUGAAUUGAUGUCUUGUUAUUUCAGCAAGAUGAAAAUGCAGUGAAGAAGGAAACAUUGUCACCGUCCCCACCAUGUUGUCGUGUGCAUUCUUUUUGCAAGACGUUGACUGCCUCAGACACUAGCUCUCAUGGUGGAUUCUCAGUGUUGAGACGACAUGCUGACGAGUGUCUACCCCCUCUAGUUAGGACUUUUUACCUCAAUCUGUGUCUUAUGCGUGCCUUUCCAUUUGUUGGAAUUCAAGGUCUUAAAAGGUUGUUUGUUUCCUAUGACAGGACAUGUCACAACAACCUCCAACCCAGGAGUUGGUGGCAAAAGAUAUGCAUGGCAAUGAGUGGCGAUUCAGACAUAUCUUUCGUGGUAGGCAAUAAAAACUGUAACUUUUUCUUGAUCACCGCGCAUGCUUGUAGUCAUCGAUCACGUCUCGUCUAUUGCAAAUGAUGUCUGUGGUUGUAUGAAAAUGUACUGAAAACUGAAAUCUAAUAAUACCAAUUAUAAUUCACUGGAACUUGCAAAAGCAUAAAGCCUGAGCCAAAUGGUGGCAUUAAUUUUUUCUAGUUGGAAUGCUUUUGAAUUGGUGUAGUAUGGGUUAUUUAAUGGAUUUUUGUUUUGCUGCAAUACACUUCUCUAAGAAUGUAUUUUAUCUAUUCAUUAAAGAUUUUGAAAGGAUUGUUGACCUGUAAUUUUGCAAUUAAUUUACUAAAUUUCAGGUCAACCACGGAGGCACCUCCUUCAGAGUGGUUGGAGUGUCUUUGUGAGUUCCAAGAGGCUUGUUGCUGGGGAUGCCUUCAUAUUUCUAAGGUUUGGUGCAAUCUUAAUGUCUCUAUAUCUAUACAAACUUACUGUCAUGCAUGAAAUGUGAGUAAUGUGGAAUUUGUAGGGGCGAGAAUGGGGAGCUUCGAGUUGGCGUUAGACGUGCCAUGAGAAAGGAAGGCAACGUUCCAUCAUCAGUCAUAUCUAGUCACAAUAUGCAUCUUGGUGUGCUGGCAACAGCUUGGCAUGCUAAUCAGACUAAAACCAUGUUUACGGUGUAUUACAAGCCCAGGUAUGUGGUUUGAAUUGUGUAUUCGUGGUGUUUACUGAUGCCAAAAUAAAACUGUCAACAUAUCAAAGAUUAAUUUGGAUGUCCAACCUCUCUCUCUCUCUCUGUGAAAAGAGAUGGCUACUGGCUACUAUGGGAGAUGGAACCAAACUCACCCUCCUCCAUAGCUCAUAAAAAUUGUGGAUGGUCUUUCAUUCUGUUGGUUGUUGAGAACAGUCCAUUUUUAACCUUAUCGUUUCUUUUAUAAUUCCUCUGGUUGCAAUUGAAUUUUGCUACAGUAAGCACGUGACAUUGCUGCUGUCAAAUGAGCAUAUGAUGAAUCUGUUUGUGAUUUUAUGGGUGCAGACUUUCGCAUUUCAAUUUUUUUUUUCAAAGGUAUAUUCAAUUUUUUUUUUUUUUUUUUGAAACGUAUGCCUUUCAAAAAAAAAAAUUUUGAAAUGCGAAAGUCUGCACCCAUAAACGUAUGCACAAUAUGCAGAAGAAAGAUAAUGAUCGGAUUAUAUCGCAUGUUUUGCACUCUUCUAAUUGUUAUUCUCCUAUAAUGUGGCAGGACGAGCCCAGCUGAAUAUAUUGUCUCUUAUGAUCAGUACAUGGAGUCCAUGAAAAUUAAUUAUGCAAUAGGAAUGAGGUUUAAAAUGAGAUUUGAAGGUGAAGAAGCUCCAGAGCAGAGGUAGGUGGCAUGUUAGAAUCCUGAAGAAUAAACUGAACUUUUCAUAAUAGUUAUCUUCUAAUUUUAUAAUAUUACGAUUAAAUGUUAAUUCACAAAGUUUUUAGGUUUACUGGAACAAUAGUUGGUAUUGAGGAUGCUGACCCGAAAAGAUGGCCAGAAUCAAAAUGGAGAUGUCUAAAGGUAGUUGCUCCUGUAUUUGAUGAAGCAUGUUCCCCCUUUUUAGAUCUCAUGCUGAAGUUGUAUCUCUUAAUCUAACAUUAAGGUGCGAUGGGAUGAAACUUCCUCCAUUCCUCGUCCUGAGAGGGUUUCACCCUGGGAAAUUGAACCCGCUGCUCUUAAUCCGCUUCCGGUGUCCAGGCCAAAGAGGCCUCGAUCAAACAUCUUUCCCUCAUCUCCAGACUCUUCUGUCUGUACAAGGGAAGGUAUUUUUCAACCUGACUGAGUUUUCUUUUGGCUAAUUAUUAUUAUUUUUUUUUUACUUUAUAUCCAUCUGACUCAAAUGUGUUCUAUGUAUUUGUUUCAAUGUAGCUUCAUCUAAGAUAACAGUGGACUCUUCAGCAGCCAGUGGCUUUCCUAGGGUUUUGCAAGAUCAAGAGUUUUCCCCCUUGAGAAGCACUUUUCUGGAGAACUAUGAGUCAGACUCUUCUGAAAAGCAAAUAUUAUGGCGACCUUCAUUGGAUGAUGAGAAGGUUGAUGUUUCCACAACCAGAAGAUAUGGAUCCGAUAAAAGGUUUCCUCUAGGAAGGCAAGAGUCAUCAGUCACUAAUCUCUUAUCAGGUUUUGGGACGCAAAUCAAUUCCUCCCAUGAUUUCUAUAUGCCUUGUGGUGAUCACGCUGGAGCUAUUGCGAAUCAUCUAAUGCUAGAGGAUGAAGGGAAAUUCAACUCAAUUGGAAACACGAGGUCUAAGAUUCAUUCUGGUCUGUCGCUUAAUUUGAUGGAUUCUAACAUGAAAACUCAUGGACAAGAGGAUAUGAGGUAUGGUGGUUUCAGACUGUGUUCCGUGCUUCCUGAUCAUAGAGCUAAGAAUUUGCCUAGUGAUUGGUUGAUGCCACCACCAAUUUCACCUUAUCUCCAAACACCGCCUGCUAUGUCUAGAGAGCUGGCGCUGAAGUCUUCAUCUCAACAACAGUACAAUGGCAGGAAACCAAAAGCAGGGAACUGCAAGCUCUUUGGUAUUUCCCUUAAUAGUAGCUCCAUUCCAAUUGAGCCUGCAUUAUCAGAGUGGUUGGAGUGUCUUUGUGAGUUCCAAGAGGCUUGUUGCUGGGGAUGCCUUCAUAUUUCUAAGGUUUGGUGCAAUCUUGAUGUCUCUAUGUCUAUACAAACUUACUUUCAUGCAUGAAGUGUGAGUAAUGUGGAAUUUGUAGGGCUGAGAAUGGGGAGCUUCGAGUUGGCGUUAGACGUGCCAUGAGACAGGAAGGCAACGUUCCAUCAUCAGUCAUAUCUAGUCACAGUAUGCAUCUUGGUGUGCUGGCAACAGCUUGGCAUGCUAAUCAGACUAAAACCAUGUUCACGGUGUAUUACAAGCCCAGGUAUGUGGUUUGAAUUGUGCAUUCGUGGAGUUUACUGAUGCCAAAAUAAAACUGUCUGUUAUCAAAGAUUAAUUUGGAUGUCCAACUUCUCUCUCUCUCUCUGAAAAGAGAUGGCUACUGGCUACUGUGGGAGAUGGAACCAAACUCACCCUCCUUCAUAGCUCAUAAAAAUUGUGGAUGGUCUUUCCUUCUGUUGGUUGUUGACAACAGCCCAUUGUUAACCUUAUCGUCUCUUUUAUAAUUCCUCUGGAUGCAAUUGAAUUUUGCUACAGUAAGCAUGUGACAUUGCUGCUGUCAAAUGAGCAUAUGAUGAAUCUGUUUGAUUUUAUAGGUGCAGACUUUCACAUUUCAAUUUUUUUUUUCAAAGGUAUAUUCAAAUUUUAUUUUUGUUUGGGAAAGGUACACCUUUCAAAAAAAAAAAUUUGAAAUGCGAAAGUCUGCACCCAUAAACGUAUGCACAAUAUAUAGAAGAAAGAAAAUGAUCCGAUUAUAUUGCAUGUUUUGCUCUCUUCUAAUUGUUAUUCUCCUAUAAUGUGGCAGGACGAGCCCAGCUGAGUAUAUUGUCUCUUAUGAUCAGUACAUGGAGUCCAUGAAAAUUAAUUAUGCAAUAGGAAUGAGGUUUAAAAUGAGAUUUGAAGGUGAAGAAGCUCCAGAGCAGAGGUAGGCGGCAUGUUAGAAUCCUGAAGAAUAAACUGAACUUUUAUGGAGUAUUUGAAUAAUAGUUAUCUUCUAAUUUGAUAAUAUUACGAUUAAAUGUUAAUUCACAAAGUUUUUAGGUUUACUGGAACGAUAGUUGGUAUUGAGGAUGCUGAUCCGAAAAGAUGGCCAGAAUCAAAAUGGAGAUGUCUAAAGGUAGUUGCUCCUGUAUUUGAUGAAGCAUGUUCCCGCUUUUUAGAUCUCAUGCUGAAGUUGUAUCUCUUAAUCUAACAUUAAGGUGCGAUGGGAUGAAACUUCCUCCAUUCCUCGUCCUGAGAGGGUUUCACCCUGGGAAAUUGAACCCGCAGCUCUUAAUCCGCUUCCAGUGUCCAGGCCAAAGAGGCCUCGAUCAAACAUCUUGCCCUCAUCUCCAGACUCUUCUGUCUGUACAAGGGAAGGUAUUUUUCAAUCUGACUGAGUUUUCUUUUGGCUAAUUAUUUUUUUACUUUAUAUCCAUCUGACUCAAAUGGGUUCUAUAUAAUUUUUUCAAUGUAGCUUCAUCUAAGAUAACAGUGGACUCUUCAGCAGCCAGUGGCUUUCCUAGGGUCUUGCAAGAACAAGAGUUUUCCCCCUUGAGAAGCACUUUUCUGGAGAACCAUGAGUCAGACUCUUCUGAAAAGCAAAUAUUAUGGCGACCUUCAUUGGAUGAUGAGAAGGUUGAUUUUUCCACAACCAGAAGAUAUGGAUCAGAUAAAAGGUUUCCUCUAGGAAGGCAAGAGUCAACAGUCACUAAUCUCUCAUCAGGUUUUGGGACGCAAAUCAAUUCCUCCCAUGAUUUCUAUAUGCCUCGUGGGGAUCACGCCGGAGCUAUUGCGAAUCGUCUAAUGCUAGAGCAUGAAGGGAAAUUCAACUCAAUCAGAAACACGAGGUCUAAGAUUCAUUCUGGUCUGUCACUUAAUUUGAUGGAUUCUAACAUGAAAACUCAUGGACAAGAGGAUAUGAGGUAUGGUGGUUUCAGACAGUAUUCCGUGCUUCCUGAUCAUAGAGCUAAGAAUUUGCCUAGUGAUUGGUUGAUGCCACCACCAAUUUCACCUUAUCUCCAAACACUGCCUGCUAUGUCUAGAGAGCUGGCGCUGAAGUCUGCAUCUCAACCACAGUACAAUGGCAGGAAACCAAAAGAAGGGAACUGCAAGCUCUUUGGUAUUUCCCUUAAUAGUAGCUCCAUUCCAAUGGAGCCUGCAUUGCCACACAGAAAUGCGUCUAUUGAGCUAGCUGAUCGCAUGCUUCUUGGGGUGAACUCUCAUAAAUCCACUGCACUUGAAUCUCAUCAAAAUUCUAAAUUGGUUGAUAAUCAAGUUGCCAAUAGUGAGCAGGAGAAACAAUGUCGAACCUAUGUUCCCAUUUCUAGCAAUGGGGAAGGCAAAGGUCAUUCUGGUUCAACGAGGAGUUGCACCAAGGUUUUGAUUUGGACUUCCAUAUUCCUUUUCAAUGACACUGUUAAUUCACGUCUAAUAUAAAAUGGCAUUGCCAUCUCUCUAUUAUUUUCAUUUCAGGUUCAUAAGCAGGGUAUCGCCCUUGGAAGAUCUGUGGAUCUUGCCAAUUUCAACAACUACAACGAAUUGAUUGCUGCAUUAGACGAUCUCUUCAAAUGUAAUGGGGAACUGACUUCUCAGAAUAAGAAUUGGCUUGUGGUUUAUACUGAUGAUGAGGAUGAUAUGAUGCUUGUUGGAGAUGACCCAUGGGAGUAAGAUAUCCUUCUUGAUUCUCCCUAACAUGUUCCGAAAGUUUGGAUUAAUUUUGAUUACCAAAACUCAUUGGUAUCGUCUUCAUGUAAUUGCUUGUUUAUUGACUGUUGCCUAUCUAUCUCUGGUUAAAAACAGUGAAUUCUGUGGCAUGGUUCGGAAGAUCUUAAUUUGUACAAAAGAAGAGGUCCAGCGUAUGAACCCAGGGACGUUUAUUUCAAAUGGAGAGGAUUAUUCAUCAGUUCCGGAAGGCUUGGAUGCCAAUGAAGCAAGGGAUCUACGACGUCCUUCAACAUCAAGCCCAGAUGAUUGCUAAGUUGUCCACCUUUAUCUAGGUAGUUAUUUUAUAUAUUCAACUUUUUGAGCUACUAGGAAAAUGUAUCCUGGUACAAAUGUUAAUUUAUUCUCUUACCUGCUCCUGUUGUGCCCCAUUCUUUAAAUUUUUUUUGGGAAGUUUCAUAAGUGUGUAGAGAUAUGUAUGCCAUGCCCAUCGGGGAAGGGUUUGGGGUCAUUUCGGAGAUUUGGAGUAAAAAUGGGAAAAUUGGAUUCUGCAUAUCUUUUGAUGUCUUUUCCUUCUUCUUUGUUGGAUGGAUUCUCUCCCGUAGCUCAGUAUAUGAUUACUUAAUCUCGAAUGUUAUUGGAGGAUCUAUGAUAUCUGCUGAUAAGUAAUCUUGAUGCUAAACAGGUAUAUAUAAAUGCAUGACUUGGAGAAGACUUUUAAUGGAUCAGCUGUUGAUUUUUGGUGACAUCAGAUAGCAUAUGCUUAUUCUGCCCCUUCAACCUCUCGAUGGCUGGAUUCUCUAUGGUUGAGAUUUUCAGCAUCUGGAGUUUUAAACCGUUCCAAGGCCAAUUUAUUUCACCAUAUAGUUUAUGAUGAAAUGCGUAUCAUAUUAUGAGCAAGGCGUAGAUGCCAUAUUUUGCUUUCAAUCUUCACCUUGUACUUAUCCAACCUUUCUUUUUUUUCUCAAAGCAAGUAUUGAUGCAAGCAAGAGUUGAUAUAUAACCUGCUACGCCUCAUUUUGAUUUCUGUAGUAUUGAAUCAAGCAAGAGCGCAUAAUAUAUGUGGUGUCAUCAUUAUUUAGAUGAACUAUAGAUGGAGAGAAUAGUUCGUAUUUGUUUUGCAGAACGGUUUUUGCAGCUGCCUGGGGAGAGAUUGGUUUGAAAAGCAAUGGAUUUUGCUCGCUCAUUUCGAUUUAGUUUAGUGUUUCCGGAGUUAUAAAAGGCUCUGCUUAUUUUACAAGAUUUUUGCACCUGAAAUUCAAGGGAGCAGAAAAUGGUCAACUUUAUGAAGUUCUGGAUUCUCGUUUUCUUUUCUCAUCAUGUUUGGUCCAGAUAUUGAAUUGUAUUGAAGUUGAAAAAUAAGUUAAACUAUUGUUUAUAACUCUUUUGUCAUGUCCAACAUGAAAAAAAAUGUGAAACUUAAAAUAUAUUUCCUUGGAUAUUUUAAUGUAACAUUAUUUUUUGCUAUAUAACCAAUCUAAAAGUUAGUCUUCAAUAAUAUUUAGAGCCUGUUUGAGUCACAUUAUAAUGAGAAUGAGGAUGAGAAAUAGAGUCGUUAUGUGCUCCACACCGGAGAUAGAAAUUCAAAAAUGGUGAUUUGAUGUGAUGGAUAAUGGUCAUAUUUUUCAUUUUAAUGAGGUAAAGAUGGGGUUCAAACAGGGGCUUAAAAUAGCAAGUUGAUCAUUAUGACCAGUUCCAAUAAUAAAAAAUGUCCAAAAUAUUGUUAAGUCGUGUGGAUUUUGUAUACGCAACUUUACAAAGUUAAGUUUAACGUCUCAAUUUGGACUUGGACAAAAAACUUUGAAAAAAUACAUGUUCCUACGUGGGUUGUAUGCGAUUUAACAACAAUUAAGGCGACUUCUGUCGUGAGAUUAAUGGUGCAACUAUGGACAAGAUUGGAGAUUAAAUUGCCCUUUUUGAAACACUAAUGGUCAAGUUUCUAUUGAAACUUUAUUUUUCCUUUUCUUUUCUUUUCUUUCCGUUCCUUUUUUUUAUUUUUUAUAGUUAGUUUAAAAUGAAAAAUUGGACAUUUGAAGUUUGAGGAUUCACUUGCUAGAGCAAAUUAAUAAAGGACUUAAGUUCUAAUUUGUAAAGUUUUGAAACACAACUAUAAUUUACCUUUUAUGUUUUUUGUGGAAAUUACGGAUUCUAAUAAAUUAAAAAUCCUCAUUUCAUAAAUAAGAUGACAUGUUUAGUAUUUCACAAAUCAUAAUUUUUUAAAUUAAUUAAUGUAUUUAAAAAUUAAUUAAGUAAAACAAUUUCAAAUCUAAUUAAAUCAAUCUCAAUUCCCUCUCUCUCUCUCUGCCUUAAACACCGCCGUCGAAUAUCUCUCCCACAAAUCGACCAUCUCUAGACAAGCGUUCACCGAAAGAUCACGAUCAUAAAUCCACUGCACUUGAAUCUCAUCAAAAUUCUAAAUUGGUUGAUAAUCAAGUUGCCAAUAGUGAGCAGGAGAAACAAUGUCAAACCUAUCUUCCCAUUUCUAGCAAUGGGGAAGGCAAAGGUCAUUCUGAUUCAACGAGGAGUUGCACCAAGGUUUUGAUUUGGACUUCCAUAUUCCUUUUCAAUGACACUGUUAAUUCACAUCUAAUAUAAAACGGCAUUGCCAUCCUUCAAUUAUUUUCAUUUCAGGUUCAUAAGCAGGGUAUCGCCCUUGGAAGAUCUGUGGAUCUUGCCAAUUUCAACAACUACAACGAAUUGGUUGCUGCAUUAGACGAUCUCUUCAAAUGUAAUGGUGAACUGACUUCUCAGAAUAAGAAUUGGCUUGUGGUUUAUACUGAUGAUGAAGAUGAUAUGAUGCUUGUUGGAGAUGACCCAUGGGAGUAAGAUAUCCUUCUUGAUUCUCCCUAACAUGUUCCGAAAGUUUGGAUUAAUUUUGAUCACCAAAACUCAUUGGUAUCGUCUUCAUGUAAUUGCUUGCUUAUUGAUUGUUGCCUAUCUACCUCUUGUUAAAAACAGUGAAUUCUGUCGCAUGGUUCGGAAGAUCUUAAUUUGUACGAAAGAAGAGGUCCAGCACAUGAACCCAGGGACGUUUAUUUCAAAUGGAGAGCAAUAUUCAUCAGUUCCGGAAGGCUUGGAUGCCAAUGAAGCGAGGGAUCUACCACAUCCUUCAACGUCAAGCCCAGAUGAUUGCUAAGUUGUCCACCUUUAUCUAGGUAGUUAUUUUAUAUAUUCAACUUUAAAAGAGCUACUAGGAAAAUGUAUCCUUGUACAAAUGUUAAUUUAUUCUCUUACCUGCUCCUGUUGUGCCCCAUUCUUUAAAUUUUUUUUGGGAAGUUUCAGAAGCGUGUAGAGAUAUGUAUGCAUGCCCAUCGGGGAAGGGCUUGGGGUCAUUUCUGAGAUUUGGAGUAAAAAUGGGAAAAUUGGAUUCUGCAUAUCUUUUGAUGUCUUUUCUUUCUUCUUUGUUGGAUGGAUUCUCUCCUGUAGCUCAGUGCAUGAUUACUUAAUCUCGAAUGUUAUUGGAGGAUCUAUGAUAUCUGCAAAUAAGUACUUGAUGCUAAACAGGUAUAUACAAAUGCAUGAGUUGGAGUAGACUUUUAAUGGAUCAGCUGUUGAUUUUUGGCGACAUCAGAUAGCCUAUGCUUAUUCUGCCCCUUCAACCUCUCGAUGGCUGGAUUCUCUAUGGUUGAGAUUUUCAGUAUCUGCAGUUUUAAACCCGUUCCAAGGCCAAUUUAUUUCACCAUAUAGUUUAUGAUGAAAUGCGUACCAUAUUACGAGCAAGGCGUAGAUGCCAUAUUUUGCUUUCAAUCUUCACCUUGUACUUAUCCAACCCUUUUUUUUUCAAAGCAAGUAUUGAUGCAAGCAAGAGUUGAUAUAUAACCUGCUACACCUCAUUUUGAUUUCUGUAGUAUUGAAUCAAGCACAAGCGCAUAAUAAAUGUGGUGUCAUCAUUAUUUAGAUAAACUAUAGAUGGAGAGAAUAGUUCGUAUUUGUUUUGCAGAACGGUUUUUGCAGCUGCCUGAGGAGAGAUUGGUUUGAAAAGCAAUGGAUUUUGCUCGCUCAUUUCGAUUUAGUUAAGUGUUUCCGGAGUUAUAAAAGGCUCUGCUUAUUUUACAAGAUUUUUGCACCUGAGAUUCAAGGGAGCAGAAAAUGGUCUACUUUAUGAAGUUCUGGAUUCUCGUUUUCUUUUCUCAUCAUGUUUGGUCCAGAUAUUGAAUUGUAUUGAAGUUGAAAAAUAAGUUAAACUAUUGUUUAUUACUCUUUUGUCAUGUCUAACAUGAAAAAAAAAAUGUGACACUUAAAAUAUAUUUCUUUGGAUAUUUUAAUGAAACAUUAUUUUUGACUAUAUAACCAAUCUAAAAGUUAGUCUUCAAUAAUAUUUAAAAUAGCAAGUUGAUCAUUAUGACCAGUUCCAAUAAUAAAAAAUGUCCGAAAUAUUGUUUAAGUCGUGUGGAUUUUGUAUGCGCAACUUUACAAAGUUAAGUUUAACGUCUCAAUUUGGACUUGGACAAAAAACUUUGAAAAAAUACAUGUUCCUACGUGGGUUGUAUGCGAUUUAACAACAAUGAUGGCGACUUCUGUCUUGAGAUUAAUGGUGCAACUAUGGACAAGAUUGGAGAUUAAAUUGCUCUUUUUGAAACACUAAUGGUCAAGUUUCUAUUGAAACUUUAUUUUUCCUUUUCUUUUCUUUUCUUUCCGUUCUUUUUUUAAUUUUUUUAGUUAGGUUAAAAAGAAAAAUUGGAUAUUUGAAGUUUGAGGAUUCACUUGCUAGAGCAAAUUAAUAAAGGAUUUAAGUUCUAAUUUGUAAAGUUUUGAAACACAACUAUAAUUUGCCUUUUAUGUUUUUAGUGGAAAUUACGGAUUUUAAUAAAUUAAAAAUCCUCAUUUCAUAAAUAAGAAGACAUGUUUAGUAUUUCACAAAUCAUAAUUUUUUAAAUUAAUUAAUGUAUUUAAAAAUUAAUUAAGUAAAAAAAUUUCAAAUCUAAUUAAAUCAAUCUCAAUUCCCUCUCUCUCUCUCUCUGCCUUAAACAUCGCCGUCGAAUAUCUCUCCCACAAAUCGACCAUCUCUAGACAAGCGUUCACCGAAAGAUCACGAUAGAGCAACAGCCAGAACAGUGGCAAAUGGUGGUCGUGGAGAUCUUGAUUAGGGUUUGGGGAGUGGUUGGAUGAAAUUUGUGUUAAUUUGAAAGCUGGAGGCCACCAUAGUGGAGAGGAAGGCUGCAGCGAUGACGUCAUUACAAUGGCUUGACGUCGUUGCAUUGUGUAGAGGGCAUAGGGGCGAUGACGCCACGGCGGGCGGAAUGAGUGCCGCUCCGCGAUUUGGAAAAAUUUGGUGGAGGCGCGAUCUAGUACGAAUAUGAUUUUUUUGGGUUUUUGCGAAGGUUUGGGAUGGUGCUCAGAGUUUGGUGGUUUGCUUUGUGGUAGGUACGGUGAUGGUGUUUGCAGCUGUUGAAGGUAAUGCAGGUGAUGGUGGUAGUGCCAAGUGGUGAUUGUCGCUACAUGAAUUAUGCUAUGGCGAUGGUGGCACGUGCAACGGUGAUGGUGCAGUGGUGGAGUUCAGAUAUAUUUAUACAACUGUUAAUCUAAAAGUUUUUGUGCGUAGACGUGGUGGUGUGUGUGCGACGACAAUGAGUUGAUGUUGGUGAUUUGCACGAUUUUGUGAUGACAGUGGUAAUUGUGGUGGACUGACGGUGGUCGUGUCGGUGGUUGUGGUGGUCAUGAUGGUUUGUUUGAUUUUGUGUCAAAUAAUUGAACCCAUGACUUCAAAAUUGUGAUUGUAACUCCCAAUUGUAACUCACAAUUUGGGAGUCACAGUUGGUUGUGACAGUGGUCGUGGGGGUUUGGUUGAUUUAUGACUCACAAUUGGAUAAUCGACCUGAAAAUUGUGACUAUGAAUCGUAAGUAUUGGUGGUGGUCACAAAUUAUUUGAUUUCCAGUGAUCAUUAAAUUGGUUAAUCUAUGAUCAAUAAAUAAUACGUGACCAACGAAAAAAAUAAAUUUUGAUCGAAAAAUAAUGUAUGACCUAAAAAAUUAUUAAUCUGUGAUCGAUAAUUUGUGAUUAUAUAAUAAAUUGUGACUUGUAAUAUUUGUCAUUUGUGAUCAAUAAAUAAAUCGUGACUUAUAAAUUUUUCGAUUUAUGAUCGAUGAACACACCGUGACCUAUAAAAUUUUUGAAUUGUAAUCGUAAAAUAAUUUGUGACAAAAAAAAAGUGACGAAUUAAAUCGUUAUUUUGUGAUCAAAUUAUACAAAUUUGUGACUUAAAUAUAUUUAAUUACUAAAAUAAUUAAUUAAUUAAAUUAAAAAUAAUUUUUAAUAAAAAUAUGAUUUUUGAAAUUUCACACUUCUUUUCUUGGUUUUGGAACGUGACAAUUAAAUUUUCCCAUGUUUUUUAUUAUGAAGAGAAGAAGCUGCAAACCGGUCCAUUUUCAUCCACAUCUACCUUCUUCUACAUCACUCUCAAUCCCCCUAAAGUGCACGCCAACCCCCUCUCUCUUUAUUAUUGAGAGACCUUAACAAUUCUCUCAUUCGUCUUUCUGUUAAUCUAUUUUUCAUUCAGGUAAAGUUUAUAUUUCUUGUUGACCUAAUUUGUAUUUCUGUGUCUGAAUUGAAAUUGGGUUUCUAUUGAUAUUAUUUGAUUUUAGGUUAAUUAGAUGCUCAUUGAAGGUUUUUUUCUGAUUUGUUCUCGUAAUAUAUCUGUGUUAUUUUUUACUUUUAUAAUUUUUUUCAAUCUGGUUCUUUAGGUUUACAGAUGAAAGUUUUUAAUGUUGAAAUAAUAUUCUUUUUGAAUUGAUUAGCUAAAAACAUGUUAUCAUAAAUGGCGAUGGAAUGAAAUGUUAGCUAGUAUCUGUUAUCUCUCUGUGAUUCUAUUUAGAUUAUGUGAGCUAGCACUAAAUGAAAGAGCUAAUAUGUGUUUUUAUGUGCUUUUAGCAGCUCUGGAGCUUGUAUGAAUUGUUAUUGCAAAAUUCUCUUUUCAUUUUACUUGUUUUUCUAUUUUACUGUAAGUACAUUCUUUUCUGUGGAUGGUGAAAAAAUAUCAUAGAUUUAUGUGUCUAUAGUAUGAUGUGAGUUCUAUUAUAAUAAUAUGGGGGUAAAGUGUUCUAUAAAAUCCACUGGUUUAUUUUUUUAUUUUUAUUAUUCUUGUUAAACUUUUAUAACGUAUGGUAUCAUCGAAUGUUGGUUGAUUAGAGUUCAUAUAGUUCUACUCUCUGCAUUUCGGCUCCUCGAAUCUGUCUACUUCAAGAUAAAGAACUAAAAAAACUUCUUGUGUAGUAUGUAGUUUUUAGAAGCCCAUUUUUAUGGCUCCCUUUUUGAGGUUCAAAUUUAUGUGUUCCAUACUUGAAAACUUAUGUUUUCAUUGGAUUUUUGAUUUCUGAUUGUUUCCAUCAACUGAAGAAGUUUAUUCCUUAGUUUGAGAUUUUGGAAUUAGUCAAGUCGAAUAAUUGCAUUAACUUAGCAGUGGGCAUGCAAUCCCUCCUGCCAACUUCCUCGAUUCAAGAUGAUAUGUUAGAUCUACUUCUCAAAAAAUUGUUGCUUCUUGUAUAUUCAGCUCUUUGUAUGGCAGAGGCCUUUCUACUUUAUUUUAGCCUCCAGUUGCAUUAACUUUAUGUGUUGAACAGUUGAAGUGACUUUCUAGUGUUCUCAUGGAGCUUUUCAAUGUGGUCUUUUGCUUCCUAAGCUGAGAACUCUGGGUAAUUAGGUGGUUGUGGGUGUUUGUGGAUCCUUUCAUGUCCAAAUACCCACUAAUUGACCCUUUUUGUUGGUUCUAGAAAAUAAAAUUAUCCUUUUAGGAUGUUUCUACGUUAUAAAUUGCACAGUGCAUGUUUGUUGAAGAUGGGAAUCAUUUUCCUGUUAUGGUGAACAUAUGUAAAUAUUUCACAUUUUUCAUGCUCGUCUCGCAAGAAGAAACUUUAGCAGAUUAUGCUAGCUAUAUAUGUCGCCAUCUCACAUUUUGGAGCUUCAAAUAGAAUUGUUUUGUGCUCACAACUAAAAAAUGGCCUUUUGAUUUAAAUCUUAGCUGUCUUAUUGUCAUUUCAUAUGCAGAUCCCUUUAACGCAAUCAUGGCGAGAGCUUUAGUUCAGUCAAGUAAUAACCUCAAUAUAGUUUCCGGUGAAAGGAAUGGUCAAUUAAAGGGAUCUGGGAGUAACAAAAGAAUGGUUACAAUGCUGUGUAGUUUACAAACAAUGCCUCUAAGGAUCAGGAAUUUAUCAGGAUUGCGAGGAUCCAAUGCCUUAGAUAUGAUGCUGAGGCAAACUGGCCAGUCAUUCCAAUCGAAGGUAUCUGGUAUCACCUCUGUUACACGACGAAGAAAAUGCCGAAUUGCACCACGAGCCAUGUUUGAGCGCUUUACUGAGAAAGCAAUAAAAGUUAUCAUGCUUGCACAAGAGGAGGCAAGACGGCUUGGUCAUAAUUUUGUGGGAACUGAGCAGAUUCUGUUGGGACUUAUUGGCGAGGGCACUGGCAUUGCUGCUAAGGUUCUCAAGUCAAUGGGAAUUAAUUUGAAAGAUGCCCGUGUGGAGGUGGAGAAAAUAAUUGGAAGGGGUAGUGGAUUCGUUGCUGUGGAGAUACCUUUUACUCCUCGUGCAAAGCGUGUGUUAGAACUCUCACUAGAGGAAGCUCGCCAGCUUGGUAAGUUUUUCAUUGAUUCUUUUAGUGUGUGCUAGUUUCUUGAGAGUGUCUUCGAGGCAACGGUUCCUGGUACACAUGUUAGGCUUUAACUUCAUCAAAUUCUAAUAUACAUUUUAUCAAUAACGGUUCUUCUUCUUUUUUUUUUAUUUUUUUAUUUUUAUUUAGGUUAGCUUCAUAAUUAGCCUCAGGACACAUGAUUAUUUGUGUGGAUUAUUAUCAAUUUCUUUUUCUCUGAAAUUUGAUGUGAAAUUUAUUGCCUUUUGAUGUAGGUCACAAUUACAUUGGAUCAGAACACUUGCUGCUGGGAUUGCUUCGUGAGGGUGAAGGUGUGGCAGCUCGUGUUCUUGAGAAUUUAGGUGCUGACCCAAGUAAUAUUCGUACACAGGCAAGAAUUACUACUACUCUUUUCUUUUUGUCAACUAUUUUGUGAUCCCUUAAAACUGACUGUAUGUUGAUCCAUUUGGGCGAUUAGGUUAUUAGAAUGGUGGGCGAGAGUGCAGAAGCUGUUGGUGCUGGUGUUGGAGGUGGAAGCUCAGGCAACAAGAUGCCUACACUGGAGGAGUAUGGUACUAAUUUAACCAAGCUAGCUGAGGAGGUAAUCUUCUGUAUUUCUUGAAGCCUGCAAGCAUUAACUUCUCAUGGAAGGCUAAAAGUUGCUUGAUGUCUUGGUUUUAGGGUAAAUUAGACCCUGUUGUUGGAAGGCAGCAGCAAAUUGAACGUGUCACUCAGAUUCUGGGGCGGCGUACAAAAAAUAACCCCUGCCUCAUUGGAGAACCUGGGGUUGGGAAGACAGCUAUUGCAGAGGGCCUUGCUCAGAGAAUUGCCAAUGGGGAUGUUCCUGAGACCAUUGAGGGGAAAAAGGUAAAUUACUAUAUGAAGCGUUGAAGAGAGAUAGGCUGAUUGGUUAGCUGGUACCCUAAGGUUGCAUUUGCUGUCCCGGAUAAGACUAUAUAAUAAAUGUAGUAUAAAUUUAGAAUAGAUAGUAUUAGAUGGAUGGAAUUAUGGUGUUGAUAAUAUAUUCUUUGAUUUUUUAGUGAAAAAUGUCAUUUCUUACUGUCAACCGUAUGGUAUAACAUAAUGUGGAUGGUUGUGUUAGGCCAGAUAAGAUGACAUUAUUUAGAAUGAGAAUCAAAGAAUAUCAUUCACCUUAAUCUCCAUAAUAUAGUUACUCACCACAAUAUAUUCUAAUUUUAUAAUAAAUUUUUUACGGUCUAUUUGGGUUCACCAAAUGCAACCUAAAUGUCCCAUGAUUAGAAGUAUGAGUUGGACGGCUAUUUUCAAGGUCCCCAAUUUGGUAAUCCUCUAUAAAUUUGAAGAGUUAAGCUUGUUUCCCUCUUUGUAGUGGAUCUUGGAGAUCCACUAAAAAUUUUGAAGAAGAUUUUAAAAAUAAGUAUUAAAACAACUCCCUAAUAUGCAUUCUUGCUAAAUUAUUUUUUCUUAGGUGGUGGUGGUUGUACGAGGGUUUGUAGGGUUUUAUAAUUAUUCAUGUUAUCUGGAUUCUAAACAAAAUGUAGCGUAUGCACCAAUUUGGUUCUGUAAAACUUAUAUCCACACUACCCCUUUUGUGCUUUCAGUUUAUAUAUUUCAUAAUUAUAGUUUUAUGUUCUAGUGGAAUAAGUAAGCCUCCGUUCGUCAAACUUUAUAAAUCAAUUUAUAAAUGGCCAAAUCUCAUUUUCAACUGCACAUUCAAUGGACCAUAAGUACUAUAUGCUUAUCCACCAUUCAUUUUUAUUUAUUUAUAAAUUAAAUCGUUUAUAAAUUCUUUCCCAACAGAGGCUAAUUUAAUGCUUUUAUCAAAUACUGAAAACACACAGUAUUUUGAGCUGAGAAUAAAAAUUCCUCUGUCCUUUCAGGUUAUAACCCUUGAUAUGGGUCUUCUCGUUGCUGGGACAAAGUAUCGUGGUGAAUUUGAGGAAAGGCUGAAGAAGCUGAUGGAGGAAAUUAAACAGAGUGAUGAAAUUAUUCUUUUUAUUGAUGAAGUGCACACAUUGAUUGGAGCAGGAGCAGCAGAGGGGGCGAUAGAUGCUGCAAACAUCUUGAAACCUGCGCUAGCUCGGGGUGAAUUACAGGUUGGUAGGGCCAAAAUUGAACCAUCGACUGUUCCAUAUGUAGCUUAUGUAUGCAUUUAAUGUUGUGCAUCAUUCUUCACAUUCUUAAAAAUCUUAAUUACUCUUCCUUCUGGACAUUUUUGAAAAUGAGACAACAAUUUCUCUAGUUAAAUUAUUUUUUGGAAAUCUCAUCUUCCUCUGUGUACCACACUUCAUUUCCUUUCCCACCUCAGUGUCAUAGGUAUGUUUUGCAAAGCGUUGAAAAGGGUUGUUUGGGUGCAUUCAGCCUUGACUUAUUUUCUAUAUGGCACUAUUGAAUGACUUUUAAUGGCUCACAAUUUUGAUGUACUAAGUUUAACGGGAGUGCUUCGUAUGUCUUUCCCCAUCUUUUAUUAGUCACCACAUUUUUUGAUAUCUUUUGAUCAUGCUUAUAUCUUCAUCAAUCAGUGUAUUGGGGCUACUACACUGGAUGAAUACAGAAAGCACAUUGAGAAAGAUCCAGCAUUAGAAAGACGGUUCCAGCCUGUCAAGGUCCCAGAGCCUACUGUGGAUGAAACCAUACAAAUUUUAAAAGGGCUUCGUGAACGAUAUGAAAUCCAUCACAAGCUUCGUUACACUGAUGAAGCUUUAGUUUCUGCAGCUCAGCUAUCAUACCAGUACAUCAGGUUGUACUUUUUUAGAGAAAAAAUUAAAUAUUAUAUUGUAAUCUAUAAAUUAUUGUUUACCGGUUACAAUAAACAGUAUGUGGAUGUAUUAUAAUGUUGAAUGGGACGCGAGGAUUUUUAACAUCCGAAUAACGGUGCUUUGCAUCCCCCCAUUAGUUGUCUUCUGAUCCUAGCAAUAGUCACAUACGUACCCACCUUAGUCAGGUGUUGCUUGUAAACUGUCUGCUCAGCUCUGACUAUUCUCUUUGUAUAUUUCAGUGAUCGCUUUCUUCCAGAUAAAGCCAUUGACUUGAUUGAUGAAGCUGGUUCCCGGGUUCGACUUCUUCAUGCUCAGGUAUGGGAUUUUCUUAGUGAUGCUAUUUUCCUUAUCCGAACCAAUCUAUAGCAACAGUUGUAUUUUUUUGCAGCUUCCUGAGGAAGCUAGGGAGGUAGAGAAAGAACUCAGACAGAUCACAAAGGAGAAAAAUGAGGCAGUCAGAAGUCAGGACUUUGAAAAGGUGAAUUGUAACCUUAUAAUACAUAUCCCAUUUUGUAGUCCAAUAAGAGUAAGAUAUAGGAUACUGAGUUUUCUUUCAUGUUUCAAUCAUGAUGCCAAUUCUUAAGCUGUUUAGUUGCUGAGUUUCAUGCUCAGCAGGAUUUCCUAGCACCAGCUUUAUCAGACGAAGCUCAUGAUACUUUAAUCAAUGUACAGGCUGGGGAGCUACGUGACAGGGAAAUGGAUCUAAAGGCACAGAUAUCUGCUCUUAUAGACAAAAACAAAGAAAUGACGAAGGCUGAGAGUGAGGCUGGGGAUGGAGGUCCUGUUGUGACAGAAGUUGACAUUCAGCACAUUGUUUCUUCUUGGACGGGAAUACCUGUUGAGAAAGUGUCUACUGAUGAAUCUGAUCGUCUCCUCAAGAUGGAGGAGACACUCCACACUCGGGUCAUUGGGCAGGAUGAAGCUGUCAAAGCCAUCAGUCGUGCCAUUCGCCGUGCUCGUGUUGGUCUUAAAAACCCCAAUCGGCCUAUUGCGAGCUUUAUCUUUUCCGGGCCAACUGGUGUUGGAAAGUCAGAACUGGCUAAAGCACUAGCAGCCUACUACUUUGGUUCAGAAGAAGCCAUGAUCCGGCUUGAUAUGAGUGAGUUCAUGGAGAGACACACUGUUUCGAAACUCAUUGGCUCACCUCCUGGUUACGUUGGUUACACCGAAGGUGGACAGCUAACAGAGGCUGUUCGACGCCGUCCUUAUACCGUUGUACUUUUUGAUGAAAUCGAAAAGGCUCAUCCUGAUGUGUUUAAUAUGAUGCUUCAAAUUCUUGAAGACGGAAGGUUAACUGACAGCAAGGGUAGAACAGUAGACUUCAAGAACACCCUCUUAAUCAUGACAUCAAAUGUCGGAAGUAGUGUAAUCGAGAAGGGAGGUCGUCGUAUUGGUUUUGAUCUAGACUAUGAUGAGAAGGAUAGCAGUUACAACCGGAUCAAGAGCCUAGUGACAGAGGAGCUGAAACAAUAUUUCAGGCCAGAAUUUUUAAAUAGAUUGGAUGAGAUGAUUGUAUUCCGGCAGCUCACCAAGCUGGAGGUGAAGGAGAUUGCUGAUAUAAUGCUAAAGGAGGUAUUCGAGAGACUGAAAAGCAAAGAUAUCGAACUUCAGGUGACUGAGAGAUUUAGAGAUAGGGUCGUUGAGGAAGGAUACAACCCAAGCUAUGGGGCAAGACCACUUAGACGAGCUAUAAUGAGACUUUUGGAGGACAGCAUGGCAGAGAAGAUGCUUGCUCGUGAAAUCAAAGAAGGUGAUUCAGUUAUAGUUGAUGUUGACUCUGAUGGCAACGUGAUUGUUCUCAAUGGUAGCAGUGGUGCCCCUCCUGAGCCAUCUCCUGAGCCUGUUGCUGUCUAGACUGAGCUUUCGUUUGGCUGUAGCCUGUUCGUUGUUUGUACUGCUGCUUUUCAUUUGAAGGCGAAAAACUAUGAAGUUAUUAAUUGGAGGCUGAGUCCAAAUCCAGUUGAUAAAUUUAUGUUUGAGUAUUAAGUCUUUAUGCAUGUCUCAGUCGGCCACUAGGAAUAUAGUUUUAGAUUUUCAGAAAUUUUAUGAUUAAAGGACAUGUCGGUUAUGGUAAAGGUUGAGAUAUAGCUGUUACUUUCAUUUCGACUUUUUAAGUUUGUACAUUUACUUGAAUGUACAAACUAUUUUAAUAUGCUACUUUCUUUAUGGUAAAGGUUGAGAUAUAGCUGUUACUUUCAUUUCGACUUUUUAAGUUUGUACAUUUACUUGAAUGUACAAACUAUUUUAAUAUGCUACUUUCUUUAUUAGGACUACAGAUUAGCAGGAAAGGAGAGGCUCCUUUCUCGAUAUAAAAUGUACAAACUAUUUUAAUAUGCUACUUUCUUUAUUAGGACUACAGAUUAGCAGGAAAGGAGAGGCUCCUUUCUCGAUAUAAAAUGUACAAACUAUUUUAAUAUGCUACUUUCUUUAUUAGGACUACAGAUUAGCAGGAAAGGAGAGGCUCCUUUCUCGAUAUAAAAUGUACAAACUAUUUUAAUAUGCUACUUUCUUUAUUAGGACUACAGAUUAGCAGGAAAGGAGAGGCUCCUUUCUCGAUAUAAAGGAAGUAACAUCCUCAACAUUUACAUAUGAAAGAGGUAGUAAAUUCUUGGAUCAUCCUAUGAGGCUGAUUCCUUGGGAAAUCAAGGCAUUAGCUAGAACUUGAUUAGCUGACUGAGACGGGUGCACACUAUCCCAAAACACAUACUGAGUCGCAUUGCUGCAAGUACCGAUUGACUUGGGAUUGCACAGAAUUACUGUUGUCUCUACAGUUCCUGUACCACAGCAACCUCUCCCUGCUUCUGCAAAACCUACAAGGACAAAAAUAACAUCAUCUAAAAGCUUCGCUAUUAGAAAGAGACAUUUCCUUCAACAAACUACGCAUAUGCAGAUCAGAUUCAUCAAAUACGUAAUACAUGAAAAUUUUUCUUGUUAGGGGGCACCGAGACCUCAACUGAAGUCUUUUGCCCGCUCUCUGAUAAAACAAAAAAGGCCUUUGCCUUACACGUGACAUUUUUCGUAAUGCUCUAAUGUUAUGUUUGAUCUAAAAGCUUAAGUAUUUAGUGAAGGAAACAUUUAUUUAUUUAAAUAUUUUUCAACAAAUAACAGCAGAAAUUAUUAUGUUGAAGCGAAUCAAUCCAUCAUAACAUAGAUUUCUGAAGACAAAUUUGUUCGUACCUUGUUUUGAUGGAUCUUGAAUUAGUUCAUAAAGGGGCUUGUAGAUGUCGAACACAACAAUCUUAAGGCCGGAAAGUUGUUGCUGGAGUUGUAUUGCGGAUGAGUUGAGCUUUUCGUUGAAUCCUUGGGCAUCACUGUUAAUCCUAGAGACACAACCACUCUCGUGUAAUAUAGUUCUUGUUACUGGAAUGCAGCCCAAUGGUGGAAGUGAUGUCACCCCGAUUCUCCUGGCUCCACAGAUUUGAAGUUUGAGGAUUCACUUGCUAGAGCAAAUUAAUAAAGGAUUUAAGUUCUAAUUUGUAAAGUUUUGAAACACAACUAUAAUUUACCUUUUAUGUUUUUUGUGGAAAUUACGGAUUCUAAUAAAUUAAAAAUCCUCAUUUCAUAAAUAAGAAGACAUGUUUAGUAUUUCACAAAUCAUAAUUUUUUAAAUUAAUUAAUGUAUUUAAAAAUUAAUUAAGUAAAACAAUUUCAAAUCUAAUUAAAUCAAUCUCAAUUCCCUCUCUCUCUCUCUGCCUUAAACACCGCCGUCGAAUAUCUCUCCCACAAAUCGACCAUCUCUAGACAAGCGUUCACCGAAAGAUCACGAUCGAGCAACAGCCAGAACAGUGGCAAAUGGUGGUCGUGGAGAUCUUGAUUAGGGUUUGGGGAGUGGUUGGAUGAAAUUUGUGUUAAUUUGAAAGCUGGAGGCCACCAUAGUGGAGAGGAAGGCUGCAGCGAUGACGUCAUUACAAUGGCUUGACGUCGUUGCAUUGUGUAGAGGGCAUAGGGGCGAUGACGCCGCGGCGGGCGGAAUGAGUGCCGCUCCGCGAUUUGGGAAAAAUUUGGUGGAGGCGCGAUCUGGUACGAAUAUGAUUUUUUUGGGUUUUUGCGAAGGUUUGGGAUGGUGCUCAGAGUUUGGUGGUUUGCUUUGUGGUAGGUACGGUGAUGGUGUUUGCAGCUGUUGAAGGUAAUGCAGGUGAUGGUGGUAGUGCCAAGUGGUGAUUGUCGCUACAUGAAUUAUGCUAUGGCGAUGGUGGCACGUGCAGCGGUGAUGGUGCAGUGGUGGAGUUCAGAUAUAUUUAUACAACUGUUAAUCUAAAAGUUUUUGUGCGUAGACGUGGUGGUGUGUGUGCGACGACAAUGAGUUGAUGUUGGUGAUUUGCACGAUUUUGUGAUGACAGUGGUAAUUGUGGUGGACUGACGGUGGUCGUGUCGGUGGUUGUGGUGGUCAUGACGGUUUGUUUGAUUUUGUGUCAAAUAAUUGAACCCAUGACUUCAAAAUUGUGAUUGUAACUCCCAAUUGUAACUCACAAUUUGGGAGUCACAGUUGGUUGUGACAGUGGUCGUGGGGGUUUGGUUGAUUUAUGAAUCACAAUUGGAUAAGCGACCUGAAAAUUGUGACUAUGAAUCGUAAGUAUUGGUGGUGGUCACAAAUUAUUUGAUUUCCAGUGAUCAUUAAAUUGGUUAAUCUAUGAUCAAUAAAUAAUACGUGACCAACGAAAAAAAUAAAUUUUGAUCAAAAAAUAAUGUAUGACCUAAAAAAUUAUUAAUCUGUGAUCGAUAAUUUGUGAUUAUAUAAUAAAUUGUGACUUGUAAUAUUUGUCAUUUGUGAUCAAUAAAUAAAUCGUGACUUAUAAAUUUUUCGAUUUAUGAUCGAUGAACACACUGUGACCUAUAAAAUUUUUGAAUUGUAAUCGUAAAAUAAUUUGUGACAAAAAAAAAGUGACGAAUUAAAUCGUUAUUUUGUGAUCAAAUUAUACAAAUUUGUGACUUAAAUAUAUUUAAUUACUAAAAUAAUUAAUUAAUUAAAUUAAAAAUAAUUUUUAAUAAAAAUAUGAUUUUUGAAAUUUCACACUUCUUUUCUUGGUUUUGGAACGUGACAAUUAAAUUUUCCCAUGUUUUUUAUUAUGAAGAGAAGAAGCUGCAAACCGGUCCAUUUUCAUCCACAUCUACCUUCUUCUACAUCACUCUCAAUCCCCCUAAAGUGCACGCCAACCCCCUCUCUCUUUAUUAUUGAGAGACCUUAACAAUUCUCUCAUUCGUCUUUCUGUUAAUCUAUUUUUCAUUCAGGUAAAGUUUAUAUUUCUUGUUGACCUAAUUUGUAUUUCUGUGUCUGAAUUGAAAUUGGGUUUCUAUUGAUAUUAUUUGAUUUUAGGUUAAUUAGAUGCUCAUUGAAGGUUUUUUUCUGAUUUGUUCUCGUAAUAUAUCUGUGUUAUUUUUUACUUUUAUAAUUUUUUUCAAUCUGGUUCUUUAGGUUUACAGAUGAAAGUUUUUAAUGUUGAAAUAAUAUUCUUUUUGAAUUGAUUAGCUAAAAACAUGUUAUCAUAAAUGGCGAUGGAAUGAAAUGUUAGCUAGUAUCUGUUAUCUCUCUGUGAUUCUAUUUAGAUUAUGUGAGCUAGCACUAAAUGAAAGAGCUAAUAUGUGUUUUUAUGUGCUUUUAGCAGCUCUGGAGCUUGUAUGAAUUGUUAUUGCAAAAUUCUCUUUUCAUUUUACUUGUUUUUCUAUUUUACUGUAAGUACAUUCUUUUCUGUGGAUGGUGAAAAAAUAUCUUAGAUUUAUGUGUCUAUAGUAUGAUGUGAGUUCUAUUAUAAUAAUAUGGGGGUAAAGUGUUCUAUAAAAUCCACUGGUUUAUUUUUUUAUUUUUAUUAUUCUUGUUAAACUUUUAUAACGUAUGGUAUCAUCGAAUGUUGGUUGAUUAGAGUUCAUAUAGUUCUACUCUCUGCAUUUCGGCUCCUCGAAUCUGUCUACUUCAAGAUAAAGAACUAAAAAAACUUCUUGUGUAGUAUGUAGUUUUUAGAAGCCCAUUUUUAUGGCUCCCUUUUUGAGGUUCAAAUUUAUGUGUUCCAUACUUGAAAACUUAUGUUUUCAUUGGAUUUUUGAUUUCUGAUUGUUUCCAUCAACUGAAGAAGUUUAUUCCUUAGUUUGAGAUUUUGGAAUUAGUCAAGUCGAAUAAUUGCAUUAACUUAGCAGUGGAAAUGCAAUCCCUCCUGCCAACUUCCUCGAUUCAAGAUGAUAUGUUAGAUCUACUUCUCAAAAAAUUGUUGCUUCUUGUAUAUUCAGCUCUUUGUAUGGCAGAGGCCUUUCUACUUUAUUUUAGCCUCCAGUUGCAUUAACUUUAUGUGUUGAACAGUUGAAGUGACUUUCUAGUGUUCUCAUGGAGCUUUUCAAUGUGGUCUUUUGCUUCCUAAGCUGAGAACUCUGGGUAAUUAGGUGGUUGUGGGUGUUUGUGGAUCCUUUCAUGUCCAAAUACCCACUAAUUGACCCUUUUUGUUGGUUCUAGAAAAUAAAAUUAUCCUUUUAGGAUGUUUCUACGUUAUAAAUUGCACAGUGCAUGUUUGUUGAAGAUGGGAAUCAUUUUCCUGUUAUGGUGAACAUAUGUAAAUAUUUCACAUUUUUCAUGCUCGUCUCGCAAGAAGAAACUUUAGCAGAUUAUGCUAGCUAUAUAUGUCGCCAUCUCACAUUUUGGAGCUUCAAAUAGAAUUGUUUUGUGCUCACAACUAAAAAAUGGCCUUUUGAUUUAAAUCUUAGCUGUCUUAUUGUCAUUUCAUAUGCAGAUCCCUUUAACGCAAUCAUGGCGAGAGCUUUAGUUCAGUCAAGUAAUAACCUCAAUAUAGUUUCCGGUGAAAGGAAUGGUCAAUUAAAGGGAUCUGGGAGUAACAAAAGAAUGGUUACAAUGCUGUGUAGUUUACAAACAAUGCCUCUAAGGAUCAGGAAUUUCUCAGGAUUGCGAGGAUCCAAUGCCUUAGAUAUGAUGCUGAGGCAAACUGGCCAGUCAUUCCUUUCGAAGGUAUCUGGUAUCACCUCUGUUACACGACGAAGAAAAUGCCGAAUUGCACCACGAGCCAUGUUUGAGCGCUUUACUGAGAAAGCAAUAAAAGUUAUCAUGCUUGCACAAGAGGAGGCAAGACGGCUUGGUCAUAAUUUUGUGGGAACUGAGCAGAUUCUGUUGGGACUUAUUGGCGAGGGCACUGGCAUUGCUGCUAAGGUUCUCAAGUCAAUGGGAAUUAAUUUGAAAGAUGCCCGUGUGGAGGUGGAGAAAAUAAUUGGAAGGGGUAGUGGAUUCGUUGCUGUGGAGAUACCUUUUACUCCUCGUGCAAAGCGUGUGUUAGAACUCUCACUAGAGGAAGCUCGCCAGCUUGGUAAGUUUUUCAUUGAUUCUUUUAGUGUGUGCUAGUUUCUUGAGAGUGUCUUCGAGGCAACGGUUCCUGGUACACAUGUUAGGCUUUAACUUCAUCAAAUUCUAAUAUACAUUUUAUCAAUAAAGGUUCUUCUUCUUUUUUUUUUUAUUUUUUUAUUUUUAUUUAGGUUAGCUUCAUAUUUAGCCUCAGGACACAUGAUUAUUUGUGUGGAUUAUUAUCAAUUUCUUUUUCUCUGAAAUUUGAUGUGAAAUUUAUUGCCUUUUGAUGUAGGUCACAAUUACAUUGGAUCAGAACACUUGCUGCUGGGAUUGCUUCGUGAGGGUGAAGGUGUGGCAGCUCGUGUUCUUGAGAAUUUAGGUGCUGACCCAAGUAAUAUUCGUACACAGGCAAGAAUUACUACUACUCUUUUCUUUUUGUCAACUAUUUUGUGAUCCCUUAAAACUGACUGUAUGUUGAUCCAUUUGGGCGAUUAGGUUAUUAGAAUGGUGGGCGAGAGUGCAGAAGCUGUUGGUGCUGGUGUUGGAGGUGGAAGCUCAGGCAACAAGAUGCCUACACUGGAGGAGUAUGGUACUAAUUUAACCAAGCUAGCUGAGGAGGUAAUCUUCUGUAUUUCUUGAAGCCUGCAAGCAUUAACUUCUCAUGGAAGGCUAAAAGUUGCUUGAUGUCUUGGUUUUAGGGUAAAUUAGACCCUGUUGUUGGAAGGCAGCAGCAAAUUGAACGUGUCACUCAGAUUCUGGGGCGGCGUACAAAAAAUAACCCCUGCCUCAUUGGAGAACCUGGGGUUGGGAAGACAGCUAUUGCAGAGGGCCUUGCUCAGAGAAUUGCCAAUGGGGAUGUUCCUGAGACCAUUGAGGGGAAAAAGGUAAAUUACUAUAUGAAGCGUUGAAGAGAGAUAGGCAGAUUGGUUAGCUGGUACCCUAAGGUUGCAUUUGCUGUCCCGGAUAAGACUAUAUAAUAAAUGUAGUAUAAAUUUAGAAUAGAUAGUAUUAGAUGGAUGGAAUUAUGGUGUUGAUAAUAUAUUCUUUGAUUUUUUAGUGAAAAAUGUCAUUUCUUACUGUCAACCGUAUGGUAUAACAUAAUGUGGAUGGUUGUGUUAGGCCAGAUAAGAUGACAUUAUUUAGAAUGAGAAUCAAAGAAUAUCAUUCACCUUAAUCUCCAUAAUAUAGUUACUCACCACAAUAUAUUCUAAUUUUAUAAUAAAUUUUUUACGGUCUAUUUGGGUUCACCAAAUGCAACCUAAAUGUCCCAUGAUUAGAAGUAUGAGUUGGACGGCUAUUUUCAAGGUCCCCAAUUUGGUAAUCCUCUAUAAAUUUGAAGAGUUAAGCUUGUUUCCCUCUUUGUAGUGGAUCUUGGAGAUCCACUAAAAAUUUUGAAGAAGAUUUUAAAAAUAAGUAUUAAAACAACUCCCUAAUAUGCAUUCUUGCUAAAUUAUUUUUUCUUAGGUGGUGGUGGUUGUACGAGGGUUUGUAGGGUUUUAUAAUUAUUCAUGUUAUCUGGAUUCUAAACAAAAUGUAGCGUAUGCACCAAUUUGGUUCUGUAAAACUUAUAUCCACACUACCCCUUUUGUGCUUUCAGUUUAUAUAUUUCAUAAUUAUAGUUUUAUGUUCUAGUGGAAUAAGUAAGCCUCCGUUCGUCAAACUUUAUAAAUCAAUUUAUAAAUGGCCAAAUCUCAUUUUCAACUGCACAUUCAAUGGACCAUAAGUACUAUAUGCUUAUCCACCAUUCAUUUUUAUUUAUUUAUAAAUUAAAUCGUUUAUAAAUUCUUUCCCAACAGAGGCUAAUUUAAUGCUUUUAUCAAAUACUGAAAACACACAGUAUUUUGAGCUGAGAAUAAAAAUUCCUCUGUCCUUUCAGGUUAUAACCCUUGAUAUGGGUCUUCUCGUUGCUGGGACAAAGUAUCGUGGUGAAUUUGAGGAAAGGCUGAAGAAGCUGAUGGAGGAAAUUAAACAGAGUGAUGAAAUUAUUCUUUUUAUUGAUGAAGUGCACACAUUGAUUGGAGCAGGAGCAGCAGAGGGGGCGAUAGAUGCUGCAAACAUCUUGAAACCUGCGCUAGCUCGGGGUGAAUUACAGGUUGGUAGGGCCAAAAUUGAACCAUCGACUGUUCCAUAUGUAGCUUAUGUAUGCAUUUAAUGUUGUGCAUCAUUCUUCACAUUCUUAAAAAUCUUAAUUACUCUUCCUUCUGGACAUUUUUGAAAAUGAGACAACAAUUUCUCUAGUUAAAUUAUUUUUUGGAAAUCUCAUCUUCCUCUGUGUACCACACUUCAUUUCCUUUCCCACCUCAGUGUCAUAGGUAUGUUUUGCAAAGCGUUGAAAAGGGUUGUUUGGGUGCAUUCAGCCUUGACUUAUUUUCUAUAUGGCACUAUUGAAUGACUUUUAAUGGCUCACAAUUUUGAUGUACUAAGUUUAACGGGAGUGCUUCGUAUGUCUUUCCCCAUCUUUUAUUAGUCACCACAUUUUUUGAUAUCUUUUGAUCAUGCUUAUAUCUUCAUCAAUCAGUGUAUUGGGGCUACUACACUGGAUGAAUACAGAAAGCACAUUGAGAAAGAUCCAGCAUUAGAAAGACGGUUCCAGCCUGUCAAGGUCCCAGAGCCUACUGUGGAUGAAACCAUACAAAUUUUAAAAGGGCUUCGUGAACGAUAUGAAAUCCAUCACAAGCUUCGUUACACUGAUGAAGCUUUAGUUUCUGCAGCUCAGCUAUCAUACCAGUACAUCAGGUUGUACUUUUUUAGAGAAAAAAUUAAAUAUUAUAUUGUAAUCUAUAAAUUAUUGUUUACCGGUUACAAUAAACAGUAUGUGGAUGUAUUAUAAUGUUGAAUGGGACGCGAGGAUUUUUAACAUCCGAAUAACGGUGCUUUGCAUCCCCCCAUUAGUUGUCUUCUGAUCCUAGCAAUAGUCACAUACGUACCCACCUUAGUCAGGUGUUGCUUGUAAACUGUCUGCUCAGCUCUGACUAUUCUCUUUGUAUAUUUCAGUGAUCGCUUUCUUCCAGAUAAAGCCAUUGACUUGAUUGAUGAAGCUGGUUCCCGGGUUCGACUUCGUCAUGCUCAGGUAUGGGAUUUUCUUAGUGAUGCUAUUUUCCUUAUCCGAACCAAUCUAUAGCAACAGUUGUAUUUUUUUGCAGCUUCCUGAGGAAGCUAGGGAGGUAGAGAAAGAACUCAGACAGAUCACAAAGGAGAAAAAUGAGGCAGUCAGAAGUCAGGACUUUGAAAAGGUGAAUUGUAACCUUAUAAUACAUAUCCCAUUUUGUAGUCCAAUAAGAGUAAGAUAUAGGAUACUGAGUUUUCUUUCAUGUUUCAAUCAUGAUGCCAAUUCUUAAGCUGUUUAGUUGCUGAGUUUCAUGCUCAGCAGGAUUUCCUAGCACCAGCUUUAUCAGACGAAGCUCAUGAUACUUUAAUCAAUGUACAGGCUGGGGAGCUACGUGACAGGGAAAUGGAUCUAAAGGCACAGAUAUCUGCUCUUAUAGACAAAAACAAAGAAAUGACGAAGGCUGAGAGUGAGGCUGGGGAUGGAGGUCCUGUUGUGACAGAAGUUGACAUUCAGCACAUUGUUUCUUCUUGGACGGGAAUACCUGUUGAGAAAGUGUCUACUGAUGAAUCUGAUCGUCUCCUCAAGAUGGAGGAGACACUCCACACUCGGGUCAUUGGGCAGGAUGAAGCUGUCAAAGCCAUCAGUCGUGCCAUUCGCCGUGCUCGUGUUGGUCUUAAAAACCCCAAUCGGCCUAUUGCGAGCUUUAUCUUUUCCGGGCCAACUGGUGUUGGAAAGUCAGAACUGGCUAAAGCACUAGCAGCCUACUACUUUGGUUCAGAAGAAGCCAUGAUCCGGCUUGAUAUGAGUGAGUUCAUGGAGAGACACACUGUUUCGAAACUCAUUGGCUCACCUCCUGGUUACGUUGGUUACACCGAAGGUGGACAGCUAACAGAGGCUGUUCGACGCCGUCCUUAUACCGUUGUACUUUUUGAUGAAAUCGAAAAGGCUCAUCCUGAUGUGUUUAAUAUGAUGCUUCAAAUUCUUGAAGACGGAAGGUUAACUGACAGCAAGGGUAGAACAGUAGACUUCAAGAACACCCUCUUAAUCAUGACAUCAAAUGUCGGAAGUAGUGUAAUCGAGAAGGGAGGUCGUCGUAUUGGUUUUGAUCUAGACUAUGAUGAGAAGGAUAGCAGUUACAACCGGAUCAAGAGCCUAGUGACAGAGGAGCUGAAACAAUAUUUCAGGCCAGAAUUUUUAAAUAGAUUGGAUGAGAUGAUUGUAUUCCGGCAGCUCACCAAGCUGGAGGUGAAGGAGAUUGCUGAUAUAAUGCUAAAGGAGGUAUUCGAGAGACUGAAAAGCAAAGAUAUCGAACUUCAGGUGACUGAGAGAUUUAGAGAUAGGGUCGUUGAGGAAGGAUACAACCCAAGCUAUGGGGCAAGACCACUUAGACGAGCUAUAAUGAGACUUUUGGAGGACAGCAUGGCAGAGAAGAUGCUUGCUCGUGAAAUCAAAGAAGGUGAUUCAGUUAUAGUUGAUGUUGACUCUGAUGGCAACGUGAUUGUUCUCAAUGGUAGCAGUGGUGCCCCUCCUGAGCCAUCUCCUGAGCCUGUUGCUGUCUAGACUGAGCUUUCGUUUGGCUGUAGCCUGUUCGUUGUUUGUACUGCUGCUUUUCAUUUGAAGGCGAAAAACUAUGAAGUUAUUAAUUGGAGGCUGAGUCCAAAUCCAGUUGAUAAAUUUAUGUUUGAGUAUUAAGUCUUUAUGCAUGUCUCAGUCGGCCACUAGGAAUAUAGUUUUAGAUUUUCAGAAAUUUUAUGAUUAAAGGACAUGUCGGUUAUGGUAAAGGUUGAGAUAUAGCUGUUACUUUCAUUUCGACUUUUUAAGUUUGUACAUUUACUUGAAUGUACAAACUAUUUUAAUAUGCUACUUUCUUUAUGGUAAAGGUUGAGAUAUAGCUGUUACUUUCAUUUCGACUUUUUAAGUUUGUACAUUUACUUGAAUGUACAAACUAUUUUAAUAUGCAACUUUCUUUAUUAGGACUACAGAUUAGCAGGAAAGGAGAGGCUCCUUUCUCGAUAUAAAAUGUACAAACUAUUUUAAUAUGCUACUUUCUUUAUUAGGACUACAGAUUAGCAGGAAAGGAGAGGCUCCUUUCUCGAUAUAANNNNNNNNNNNNNNNNNNNNNNNNNNNNNNNNNNNNNNNNNNNNNNNNNNNNNNNNNNNNNNNNNNNNNNNNNNNNNNNNNNNNNNNNNNNNNNNNNNNNNNNNNNNNNNNNNNNNNNNNNNNNNNNNNNNNNNNNNNNNNNNNNNNNNNNNNNNNNNNNNNNNNNNNNNNNNNNNNNNNNNNNNNNNNNNNNNNNNNNNNNNNNNNNNNNNNNNNNNNNNNNNNNNNNNNNNNNNNNNNNNNNNNNNNNNNNNNNNNNNNNNNNNNNNNNNNNNNNNNNNNNNNNNNNNNNNNNNNNNNNNNNNNNNNNNNNNNNNNNNNNNNNNNNNNNNNNNNNNNNNNNNNNNNNNNNNNNNNNNNNNNNNNNNNNNNNNNNNNNNNNNNNNNNNNNNNNNNNNNNNNNNNNNNNNNNNNNNNNNNNNNNNNNNNNNNNNNNNNNNNNNNNNNNNNNNNNNNNNNNNNNNNNNNNNNNNNNNNNNNNNNNNNNNNNNNNNNNNNNNNNNNNNNNNNNNNNNNNNNNNNNNNNNNNNNNNNNNNNNNNNNNNNNNNNNNNNNNNNNNNNNNNNNNNNNNNNNNNNNNNNNNNNNNNNNNNNNNNNNNNNNNNNNNNNNNNNNNNNNNNNNNNNNNNNNNNNNNNNNNNNNNNNNNNNNNNNNNNNNNNNNNNNNNNNNNNNNNNNNNNNNNNNNNNNNNNNNNNNNNNNNNNNNNNNNNNNNNNNNNNNNNNNNNNNNNNNNNNNNNNNNNNNNNNNNNNNNNNNNNNNNNNNNNNNNNNNNNNNNNNNNNNNNNNNNNNNNNNNNNNNNNNNNNNNNNNNNNNNNNNNNNNNNNNNNNNNNNNNNNNNNNNNNNNNNNNNNNNNNNNNNNNNNNNNNNNNNNNNNNNNNNNNNNNNNNNNNNNNNNNNNNNNNNNNNNNNNNNNNNNNNNNNNNNNNNNNNNNNNNNNNNNNNNNNNNNNNNNNNNNNNNNNNNNNNNNNNNNNNNNNNNNNNNNNNNNNNNNNNNNNNNNNNNNNNNNNNNNNNNNNNNNNNNNNNNNNNNNNNNNNNNNNNNNNNNNNNNNNNNNNNNNNNNNNNNNNNNNNNNNNNNNNNNNNNNNNNNNNNNNNNNNNNNNNNNNNNNNNNNNNNNNNNNNNNNNNNNNNNNNNNNNNNNNNNNNNNNNNNNNNNNNNNNNNNNNNNNNNNNNNNNNNNNNNNNNNNNNNNNNNNNNNNNNNNNNNNNNNNNNNNNNNNNNNNNNNNNNNNNNNNNNNNNNNNNNNNNNNNNNNNNNNNNNNNNNNNNNNNNNNNNNNNNNNNNNNNNNNNNNNNNNNNNNNNNNNNNNNNNNNNNNNNNNNNNNNNNNNNNNNNNNNNNNNNNNNNNNNNNNNNNNNNNNNNNNNNNNNNNNNNNNNNNNNNNNNNNNNNNNNNNNNNNNNNNNNNNNNNNNNNNNNNNNNNNNNNNNNNNNNNNNNNNNNNNNNNNNNNNNNNNNNNNNNNNNNNNNNNNNNNNNNNNNNNNNNNNNNNNNNNNNNNNNNNNNNNNNNNNNNNNNNNNNNNNNNNNNNNNNNNNNNNNNNNNNNNNNNNNNNNNNNNNNNNNNNNNNNNNNNNNNNNNNNNNNNNNNNNNNNNNNNNNNNNNNNNNNNNNNNNNNNNNNNNNNNNNNNNNNNNNNNNNNNNNNNNNNNNNNNNNNNNNNNNNNNNNNNNNNNNNNNNNNNNNNNNNNNNNNNNNNNNNNNNNNNNNNNNNNNNNNNNNNNNNNNNNNNNNNNNNNNNNNNNNNNNNNNNNNNNNNNNNNNNNNNNNNNNNNNNNNNNNNNNNNNNNNNNNNNNNNNNNNNNNNNNNNNNNNNNNNNNNNNNNNNNNNNNNNNNNNNNNNNNNNNNNNNNNNNNNNNNNNNNNNNNNNNNNNNNNNNNNNNNNNNNNNNNNNNNNNNNNNNNNNNNNNNNNNNNNNNNNNNNNNNNNNNNNNNNNNNNNNNNNNNNNNNNNNNNNNNNNNNNNNNNNNNNNNNNNNNNNNNNNNNNNNNNNNNNNNNNNNNNNNNNNNNNNNNNNNNNNNNNNNNNNNNNNNNNNNNNNNNNNNNNNNNNNNNNNNNNNNNNNNNNNNNNNNNNNNNNNNNNNNNNNNNNNNNNNNNNNNNNNNNNNNNNNNNNNNNNNNNNNNNNNNNNNNNNNNNNNNNNNNNNNNNNNNNNNNNNNNNNNNNNNNNNNNNNNNNNNNNNNNNNNNNNNNNNNNNNNNNNNNNNNNNNNNNNNNNNNNNNNNNNNNNNNNNNNNNNNNNNNNNNNNNNNNNNNNNNNNNNNNNNNNNNNNNNNNNNNNNNNNNNNNNNNNNNNNNNNNNNNNNNNNNNNNNNNNNNNNNNNNNNNNNNNNNNNNNNNNNNNNNNNNNNNNNNNNNNNNNNNNNNNNNNNNNNNNNNNNNNNNNNNNNNNNNNNNNNNNNNNNNNNNNNNNNNNNNNNNNNNNNNNNNNNNNNNNNNNNNNNNNNNNNNNNNNNNNNNNNNNNNNNNNNNNNNNNNNNNNNNNNNNNNNNNNNNNNNNNNNNNNNNNNNNNNNNNNNNNNNNNNNNNNNNNNNNNNNNNNNNNNNNNNNNNNNNNNNNNNNNNNNNNNUUAAAUGUUUGAUUGAAAAGUUAUGAGUCUCAUGAAAUGUAUAAUUAAAAAUUCAUAGUUAAGUUUGAUCUUAAAAAGCAACUGUGGGAGUGUUUGGGAGAUAUUUUUAUGUAAAAAUGUAUUUUUGAAUAGUAAAUUGAUGGGAAAUGUGUGGUUGAAAAAAAAGGAAAGGUUUUUGAUUUACGUGUAAUAUUAUUUUAAUAAAAAAUAUGUGGUUGAAAAGAAGAGAGAUAAAAAUUCAUUUUGAAAAAAAUGGGUACCAAACGGGUUUGAGGUUGUUACCAAACAAGCCUAGAUGUGCGGAAAUAGGAGGAGGAAUAUCAGGCAGAAAUUUGAUCCCAUUAAAGUAAUCUGACCUCGUGAUGUGAAUAAUAUGCUGGAAAAAUUUCAUCAAUUGAGGCCACACAUGUAUAUGAUUAACGUGUGCAUUGCUAUCUUAUAGUUUUAAUCUAUUAAAGUGAUCCAAUGAAUUUAAUUUUGGACUAAUGGGUAUUAAUUAUUAUGAGAUUAAAGUGUAGAGGCCGGAUGGUUGUUUUAAAUUGAUGAGGGGCUAAUUUAAAGCAAACAAAAGAUGAUAACUACCUGUAGUUAUUUAUCAUGGGGUCAUGGUCCCCAAUUGACGUGAUAUUCCAUAACCUCUGCAUCCCCAUUAACAGAGAGUUUUUUAAGAAUUCUAAGGGAAAUCACGAAUCAAUUGGAAGAUUGUAACCCAUUCAAAAUCAUUGUUAAUCUAUGGAUCAAGGUACGCUUCCGCUUUCUUGUUCUCUUUGAUUCAACGUAGAGCAUUACAAUUUUGGUGAAAGGAUCUGUUGAUUCUUUCAAAUCUAAAUUAUCAAAAUUCUAUCAUGUGGUAUCAGAGUCACUCAAUUGUUGAAUCUUUGAAAAAUUUUGGGUUAUUUGAUCUUCUUCACGUUAUUAUUUGGAAUUUGGCAUGAAAUUUGGAUCAAGUGUAUGAGAAAUUAGGCGCUGCAAUUUCCUACUUAACUUUCUGAAAAUACAAUUUUCUUACAUAUGUUGGUCAUUGUUGUUAUGCCAUGAAAUCAAAUUGCGGGUUGUGCUUUUACUAUUCUUAUUUUGCCUAUACGGUUGGUUUAAGUUUGAAAUGGGUUUAUUCUGUUGUUGAGACUAUUGAGAGUGCCAUUGGAUGGUUCUCUGCAGCGAUUAAGUAACCGGCCCAAGUGUUGGUGCGCCCAGAUCAAUCCCUAGCUCCCAAGGGUUAAGUGGUUGGGUGUUAGGUUCAUAAUUAUGUAUUUUUUUUCUUUUUCGGUUUGGUGCAAAUCGCUGCACCACAUAGCGCUGCUGUUGCUGUUGUGCUGCGCGCUGCUGCCGGUGCAAGGCUACGCAAGCGCUGGAGUAGGGAGAAUUAGUUAAAAAAAAAAAAAAAGGUUUCUGGGUGAUUUUGGGGACGGGGGCUUCAGGUGCAAUUUGGGUUAUUCCAAGGACCAGCUUGCAAUUAUCAUAUAGGUUAAAAUUUAAGGAUUCAGCCCCUGUAAUUUAGAAUUCAUCUAAUUGGGCCUUUUAAGUUAUUUUCUGCAUACCUUCGUAUUCAAAAUUUUUAAAUGUGUUGAAUAAAAUAAUAGUGUAGAUUCAAAAUUUCGCAGCUAGUUAUUUAUGAAAAACUUUCUGUGUUAAUUUUAAUUGAUAUUGAAAAUAAUAAUGCAAGUAAAUGAUUUUUUCUCUUGGUCUCUAACCAUUUAAAUUGAUGCUUCAAAGAUAAAUAAAUAUAUUCAUCUAUUCUUCAAAUAAUUUGAGUUGUAUGCGAGGUGAUAGAGAUGGCAAAAUGGUUCGUAAGCUCGAGCCUCCUGUGGCAUAGCCCAUAAAAAGCGUGCAAGGCCGGCUCAAGACCCGAUUUUUCCGAGCCUCAUCUUGGGGUGACAGGCCGAACUCGAGCCGGCUCGAAAUUAAAAAAUAAAUAAAUUGUAGAGAUAGUAGCCAGCCGCUGCCUUGUAAAGGUAGUUGCUGAAAGCAAAAAAAAAAAAAAAAACAAAAACAAAAACAAAAAAUCGAGCAAAAAAAAAAAAAAAAAAAAAAAAACAAAAACAAAAACAAAAAAUCGAGCAGGCUCGGCUCAGGUCUAGUCUCGAUUUUUUGGCCGUCCUUUUGUUCGGCUUGGCUCGGGCCAAAAAAAGCUCGAGCCGAGCCCAAGCCUCAAUUUUCGGCUCACAAGUCGGCUCGACUCGACUCGACUUAUUAACACUCCUACGAGGCGAUCGUAUAAUAUUUAACGAGGAUGUAAAAGGAAGCAUGACUACAAUCUCUUUUGCUAAUAAUUUCCCAGUUAGCACAAACUGGCUCAAUAUUCCCGGGCUUCUUUCGAUGCACUUUGGCGAUGAUAUAAAUCAAUAAAAUUGCACAUUUUUGUAAAAAAUAAAAAAUAAUAAAAAAUAAAUAAAUUAUUACCUACAUGAAUAUGUUGCCAAAAUUAUUCUUACGUGCGACUUCUUCGGUCUAAUGGCGACAUGUUUUUCAUUUACAAAUAGACCGAUCGCCAAGGAAAAAAUUUUGUUCGAAGAGUUGAAAACGUGACACGUAAAUCUUCUAUCAAAGUUUUCCUCUGCUAUGAUACCUAAAUACGGUCAUGCGUAUGAUGAGAUGUCAUAAAAUCUUCGACUAACAAAAAAUUAUUGUAAUCUUUUUUAUUAAAUUGAUCAUCAACAGAACAAAUCUAUCCAAGACUUACCAUAGAAUUUGUGAGUUACACACUUACUUGAAAACCGUAUGUUAUACAUGUUAUUAGAAAUAUAAAAAUUUGUGAUGAUCAUUGAUCUUCAUGGAAUCUUAUUUCCAGAUUGAGUCACAAAACAGGCACAAUAGCAGCAUCGUGGGGGUAUUGCAGUUUGGCAACACAGGCAGGGAGGACAACUUGGCUUCUGAACGAGUUCUGCAUCACACAGAAAACGAAAUAUUCAAUCUAAAGCUCAUCUAAAAAUUUAAAUUGACUGAUCGUAAAUUCAAAUGAUAUUUUCAGCAAACCUAAAUAACAUAUUUCGUUCAUAGUAUGUACCUCGAUAGGUCAGUCCAGCUUCAUUGCAUGGUAUCACGGUGGCAAGAACGACCCCGAAAAUUAGAAAUGUGACCAAAAAGGAGGUUGGGGAGAGCUUAGACAUUGCUUACUAAGGAUAUAAUUUCUUAUAGCUCUUAAUUUAUUAGCUCUAUACUUAUAGGUGGGUUUUGAGUCAAAACAAAACAAAACUCUACAAGAGUAGUUGAAUGUUGAUUUAUUGCUUGGAAUCAUUCAACAAGGAAGUGCUUGACCAAAACUUGCAAUUACUUGUAAAAUACUUUGAGAAAAUAUGGUAUUUUGACCCCGAAUUUCUUAGACUGAUGAAUAAAGGAAAAAAUAAAUCAUUAUGACUACAUCCUUGUUUGGCUCUUAUUUCUUAAAAUUUAUUUUCCACAAAUUUAUUUUCAAUCACCGAUUUCACUAGACAUACAAAUUUUAUUGACUUUUCAAUCACACGUCACUAACUUUUAUUAAAAUUUACUGAAAGUCCAAUUUUUAUUCCAAACUAAGUAGAGGCGCAUCUUGCUUGAAUAUAGAAGGGUUUAAUUCCAUGUCUUAGAUAAUAUAAAAGUCAAAUAACUAAUUGUUUGCUUGACUUGACUUGGAAAUGGAGAAAAAUAAACGUAUUAAUAUUUAUUACCUUCCUAACUAAGUGCUCCGUAAUCCAUUGGAACUUCGAUUGGUCAAAUUCACUGUCGUGUGUCAAAAAGGGACUGAAACUUGUCCCUCUUUUAUUUCCAUUUUUCCUAUUAGGAUGAUUGUAUUAAGAAAUAUACUACUUGUAUAUAAUGCGGUGUUCAUUGCCUAGCUUACAUGGAGGGAGUCAUGAUGUACCUGUAGCAUCACUCUUGUAUUAAAACUAUAGUUCUUGUAAACUACACUAUAUUUUGAUUAUAAUAAACGAUUCUUUAUGUCUCUAACUGUUUUUGACAUUCUUUUUCUCAAUUUUUGUAUUAAUUUAUACAUCUGGUUUCUAAUGACGAUUUCUAUGAUCUAUAAAAUUGUAAAGAGUGCAAAAAAAAAAAAAAAAAGACUUACUUUUCUAUCAUAUUUUCAAAUAAGAAAAAUAAAUAUUAAAUAUUAAAAUUCGACCAAAUAUUUGUCCUUUAAUUUAAUGCACAACUAGCACAACAUUUGAAUAGAAAUCAUCAUCAGAAAUAAAAUGUGCUAAUUAAUGAAUUGUGACGAAAAAAGUUUGAUACACAAGUGCAAAUAUGAACAAAAAUUAGAAACUUUCAUUAUAAUGAAAUGUGAUGUAACAAAAGUGGAUAUAAUUACCCUUCUUUUUAUAAUUUCUUGCAAUAUAUGACUUGGGAUAUAUGUGGUACACUUUUCCCUUUGAAUAAAUGAACUUUAUCAGAUUGGCUGUGAAGUAUCAGCUGAAGUUAAUUGCUAUUUUGUACUAACUAAUAUACAUAAUGAAAGAGAUGUUAAGACUCAAUUUUGCAAUGUAUUCACACGUUCUAUUCAGGAAAAACUGCAGAAAAUAAGUCAUAAAUGCAACCCACAAAAGAUUUUAAUAACCACUAUGGGAAGGCAACUUCCUUAUAAAGCAAAAUAACAAAUGUCUGAAUCCAUAUUAGUUCAGAAAAUAAUUUGCAAGAACAUAUAAUUUGCUUUGAUGACGGGAUCCGACGACUAAAGCCCUGAUGGACAGCAGCCGUAAAGCCUGAAUAUCCUAACUCAGAUUGCACUACAAAUUCUGGAGACUGACUCUAUAUCUUAAGUUUGCAUUGGUAGCCUCCAUUUUGCCCUUUAUGCUGCAGCCUUCUUUUCGACUAGUUUCUCUAUCAAAUCAGCUGCUUCUUGUAUUGUUGUUAUGUUCUCAGAGCUCUCUUCCUCCACGCUAAUGCAAAACACUUCCUCGAGCCCCAUAACUAUUUCUACCUGCACCAACCAUACAUUGUGAAAUGACAUUAUGGUAGUGGGUUCAGUGCAUUGGACUAGACAAGAUCAGACAAAAUUAAGGAGCAGACAAUUUUUCAAAAGCUGAAUUCGCGUUGAAGACUAAAUUUGAGUAAAUGAAUAUGUCACAUCCUUACCAGCUUCAACUUUUCAAUAAGCUAGUCCGAGAGUUCGAUCCUGUGUGACAAACAUGUCAUGAAUGCAUAUAAGCAUGGGAAUAUGAAACUGCGGCUUACCGUGUCAAGUGAAUCAGCACCAAGUGCGGUAAAUUUCGUAUCAGGGGUGAGCUCUGUCUCGGCAGACAGUGCUAAUUGCUUCCGCACAAUGUCACUAACUUUCUGCACUGUUUCAUGUUUUGCCUGUCCAUCCGUGCAUUACAAGUUCAAACCAUAAUCGAUGCAAAAUCUAAUUUUAUUUCUAAAAACCCGUGAAUGAGAAAUCAUAUAGGCAAAUGGAGAAAUAUGUAUUACUCCACAAGUGAUUCGGGAGCGCGAGAUUAUCAGAGGAGGGAAACCAGUAGUCCUUGCCCAACCCACUGAAAUCAAACUUGCACUUGUACCUUUAAACUGUAUAUUCAUAGCGCCAAAAUGAAAUCAGUGGGAAUACAACCAAAAUUAUAUACAGAAAAUGCAAAGAACCGAGCAACUUGGAUUAGUACAGUUUAAUAUCAAACAUGUCUUCAUAAAUCUUAUCGAGUCUUGUCCAGUUUAACAUACCGAAGUAUAAAAUUUUAGUAGACCCUAAGUAUACAAAAGGAAUCUGCUCUACGCGUAAAGGGUAUGUUGAAGACUAAACUUAAAUAAAUAAAUGCACCUUUUCUCUGGUAGUAUAAGCUUUUUAGACAAAAUGUUUCAAGAAUAUCCAAAUUCAUCGUGGAAAACAGUGAGCAAACAUUUAAGAAAUGCAUAGAACUAAACAAGAUUAGACAAAAAUGUUCAUAUAGUUGAAUAUAUACAUAAUGAAGAUAAGGUGUACCUGGUUGUUUGUCUUGCAAGAUAGCUUAAGUGGCUUCUCAAAUGUAACAAAAGUAGCUGAAACAGAGGCCAUUGAGACUAAAAAAAGUGUAGUUUUUCAAGGGCGAGUUAUUAACGUUUGAGCUGUUUCAACAAAGUUUGAACACUCAAGAUAAGCAGAAAUGAUAAGAAAAUUCCUUUGUACAAUUGUUUUCUUGGAAGUAUUAGCCAACUUGGGCGGGGGGUAGCCCAAAAGGCCAAGAAUCAAGAGAAAAUUCGAGUGGUGAAUAUUCAAUAUAAACCCUAUCCAAUUUGACAAGAUUGGAUUGCGUUACUUUUAUAGUACAAUUUUUCCAUUUGUACAGAAGUGGUUUCAUAGAAACAACACAGAACACUCACAUGGAGGUGGAUUUCAUGUGAAUAAAAUAAUGUAAAAAAAAAAAACCACCCCACGUGCAGUGUACACAGAAGGGUUCUUUAUAGUAGGAUUGAUUAUCUUAGCAACUUGGUCUUGCGCUUUAAUUUUAUUUUUUAUUUUUUGUCCUUUUUUUGUUGAAAAUAUUAAUAGAAAAUAAAGGCCCGCAAAGUCGAACCAUAAUAUUUGGGCCUAGGUUGGACCAACACGGAGCACAGAACGAUUCAAUCUGGGCCUAGUCCAGGCCCAAUAUUGUAAGUAACAAAUCUUAUCAUAAAGGGAAGCCUGAAAAUGUGUUGCUCAUCAGAUAGAUUUAACAGGCCUCUAAUUUUAUUUUUGGGCAGUAUCUAGAUAUUUGGACAUAUUCAAUGCUUCUGCAGUAUACACACGCACAAAAAGUGGAAAUUUAGAAGGAAUCCUUGGUAUAGUGCUGACUUUCUUUUUCACUAUAAAGAGCUAGUAUUUUUCAAAAUUAGAUAUUUAUAUAGUCAGUUGAAUAAAUCAACUCCUAGAUGACUCUCCAUAAUUUUAUUCAAAAUAUGUUUGGCGUACGUGCAAAAAUUACGUUGCAAAUGCAUGUGUUAAAACAUUAACGACAAGUACAUUGCAAUCUUUCAUGACGUGCAUUAUCUUUUGUUGUAUUCGUGUACUCUAUAAUACCACCCUAACGUAUAAGUGGACGUUGUAAAAGACACGCGACAAUAUAUUCUGCUUAUUGUAAAGGACAAUUUUCUUGUAAUGUCUCUAAAAUUUUAUUUAGAAUCUGUUUGGUGUACCAAUUACCAUUAUGUAGCAGAAAGUAACAAUAUAUGCAAAAAGUAAACUUGCUUCAUUUUUUUUUUAAUCAAAAAAGGACUUCUUCACAAUACAGAAAUCAGGCAUAAAUUAAAAUACGCUGUUUUGAUUAAGAAAUGCCUUGUUGCUUUGGCUUGAAAAACAUACACAAGGUAUGGAUUUGAUUUUUAAGUAUCCUAUAUAUGUUUCUUAUCAAACAAAAAGAGUCCAAAGACGGCAAACUUACACAAUAUUAAGCUAAAAUUAAUUGCUUUUCGUCUUCCAGAGACUCCAGUAAAGACCAUAAUCAUCUGUUUAAGCGAUUUUCUAUGAUCAAAAUAUUACUAAAUUCUUUGUACAAACAUCUUAAAAUUGUUCUAAUUAUCAGACAUAACAUCAACAGCAGAUUGAUAUUAGACAACUAAUGAAAAAGAACAACUUGUACAAAAACCCAAUUGUUCCAUCGAACCUACCACCACACACAUAUAUACAUCAUAUAUUAUUUACAGACUAGACGCAUCGUAACAAGUUCUAAUUAACAAAGCCAAAUCUAAAGUACAAAAAAUAUAAACUGUGCAUAAAUCAUAUAUAUAACCGGCUUUAUUAACUAGAAAAUCACCAUUUUAGAUCAAAAGCAAACCAAGAAUCAGUCCAUCACUGACCAACAGAGAUGGAUUGUCCUUGGCCGGCUAAUCCAAGCCUCGAUCUCGAGUGUUGCCUGGUGAUCAUUCUUGUGAUAUCGGGAUGAGCCACUGAUCCACCGAUAAUAUUUUUCUCCGCCUCUCGCUUUACUUUCUUGACCUGGCUAUGAAUUGGAUGAUCAUAGCCUUCUCCCGUGCCCUUAUGCGGUUGUUCCUCCAUUUGCAUAAUUGUUAAACGCAACAGCAGAAAAAAGUCUCUAUUUGUACGAAUAUGACUCUGUUUACAAAUUUGUGUGUAUAAAUAGGUGGGAAGGGAGAACGGAAAGUUGGUGGGUAUGUGUUGUUUGGAUUGGGUUGAGACAGCAAUUUUGACUGUUCUAAGAAAAUUCGACGUAUACUGAAAGUUAAGUCUGGAACGUUCCAUUUGUCAAUUCAGUGGAGAGUUUGAUCUGUAUUGUGUCUGAUAAGAAGAACGAGUCAAAUUAGAGAAUAACGCGGUGCUUUUCGCAUUUGAAUUGAUCUAAUUAAGGUAUAUAAGAGGAAGAUGCCACGUUUAUUCCAUUAAAACAAGAUGGUCGGUCUUCUAAGCUAAUUAAGUAAUCUAGAAAUUGGUUGACGACGUAAAUGAAUCACAAACAAAUAUAUAGAUAUAUAGUUGACGUGCAGGAAUAAUAUUAAGAUAAUUAGUCCUUGUUUGAUGGCAAUGAAUUUUUUAUUUUUUUUUGUUGAAAUAAAUGAGUUUUGGAAUAAUAUUUUUUUUUUGAAGAAUGUGUGGUUAAAAAGUAGGAAAAUCUUCGAUUUACGUUCAAAAUAUUAUUGUGAGAAUGUGUAAUUGAAAGAGUUUUACACACAAAUUUUUUUUAAAUUAAAUUAAAUUAAAAAAUAGUAGACAAACAGGAGAUUUAUUACUUUAAAGCAGCAUUCUAAGAUGCGCACACAUAUGCCCGCAUAUGUUUGAUGCUUUUUCGAAACACUUCGCAUGUGGGGUAUGCGUGUGAUAAUACAAUCAAUCCAUUUCGUUGAUUGUAUAUGCACGAUUAAAUGCCAAAAUGCACACAUUGUGUUAAAAAUUGUGUCAAAAUUAUCUUAGCAAAUUCCAGCCCAUUUUUAUAACUAAAAAAGUAAAUUGAGGCCAACAAACAUCAAAUUAGACCAAAUCAUCCAAGUCUAGUGGUGGCAAUGGGCCGAACCCUUAAACACAAGCUCAAGCACGGCUUGUGCUCAAGGGGCGAGCUCGGCUCGGCCCAUGAGCUCAUUUUUUUUUUUUUUUUUCAAAUUUCAAAUUUUUUCUUCACAUUUUUUACGAGCCCUCGUGAAUGGCCCAUGAGCUGCUCGCGAGCUGGCUACCUCGGCUCAUUGGAUCCCACCCCUGCUUGGCUCGUGCUCGGACUUGUCAAACUGUCGACAAGCCGAUGAGCCGUUCCUCUAAUUUUAUUUUUGGGCAGUAUCUAGAUAUUUGGACAUAUUCAAUGCUUCUGCAGUAUACACACGCACAAAAAGUGGAAAUUUAGAAGGAAUCCUUGGUAUAGUGCUGACUUUCUUUUUCACUAUAAAGAGCUAGUAUUUUUCAAAAUUAGAUAUUUAUAUAGUCAGUUGAAUAAAUCAACUCCUAGAUGACUCUCCAUAAUUUUAUUCAAAAUAUGUUUGGCGUACGUGCAAAAAUUACGUUGCAAAUGCAUGUGUUAAAACAUUAACGACAAGUACAUUGCAAUCUUUCGUGACGUGCAUUAUCUUUUGUUGUAUUCGUGUACUCUAUAAUACCACCCUAACGUAUAAGUGGACGUUGUAAAAGACACGCGACAAUAUAUUCUGCUUGUUGUAAAGGACAAUUUUCUUGUAAUGUCUCUAAAAUUUUAUUUAGAAUCUGUUUGGUGUACCAAUUACCAUUAUGUAGCAGAAAGUAACAAUAUAUGCAAAAAGUAAACUUGCUUCAUUUUUUUUUUAAUCAAAAAAGGACUUCUUCACAAUACAGAAAUCAGGCAUAAAUUAAAAUACGCUGUUUUGAUUAAGAAAUGCCUUGUUGCUUUGGCUUGAAAAACAUACACAAGGUAUGGAUUUGAUUUUUAAGUAUCCUAUAUAUGUUUCUUAUCAAACAAAAAGAGUCCAAAGACGGCAAACUUACACAAUAUUAAGCUAAAAUUAAUUGCUUUUCGUCUUCCAGAGACUCCAGUAAAGACCAUAAUCAUCUGUUUAAGCGAUUUUCUAUGAUCAAAAUAUUACUAAAUUCUUUGUACAAACAUCUUAAAAUUGUUCUAAUUAUCAGACAUAACAUCAACAGCAGAUUGAUAUUAGACAACUAAUGAAAAAGAACAACUUGUACAAAAACCCAAUUGUUCCAUCGAACCUACCACCACACACAUAUAUACAUCAUAUAUUAUUUACAGACUAGACGCAUCGUAACAAGUUCUAAUUAACAAAGCCAAAUCUAAAGUACAAAAAAUAUAAACUGUGCAUAAAUCAUAUAUAUAACCGGCUUUAUUAACUAGAAAAUCACCAUUUUAGAUCAAAAGCAAACCAAGAAUCAGUCCAUCACUGACCAACAGAGAUGGAUUGUCCUUGGCCGGCUAAUCCAAGCCUCGAUCUCGAGUGUUGCCUGGUGAUCAUUCUUGUGAUAUCGGGAUGAGCCACUGAUCCACCGAUAAUAUUUUUCUCCGCCUCUCGCUUUACUUUCUUGACCUGGCUAUGAAUUGGAUGAUCAUAGCCUUCUCCCGUGCCCUUAUGCGGUUGUUCCUCCAUUUGCAUAAUUGUUAAACGCAACAGCAGAAAAAAGUCUCUAUUUGUACGAAUAUGACUCUGUUUACAAAUUUGUGUGUAUAAAUAGGUGGGAAGGGAGAACGGAAAGUUGGUGGGUAUGUGUUGUUUGGAUUGGGUUGAGACAGCAAUUUUGACUGUUCUAAGAAAAUUCGACGUAUACUGAAAGUUAA
rnacentral:lncRNA from 1 species